CUAAUGGAAAUUACUGGAAGAAGAAAAAAAUUUGAAUGCCUCUGCUGAACAAUCAAGUCAAAUUUAUUUUCCAUCAUGGAUUUAUGAUCGAUUAGAUGAAGGAGAUAUCAUGGAGCUUGGAGAUUUGACAGAAAAUGAAAACAAAAUUAUGAGGAAAAUGGUAAUAGUAGCCUUAUGGUGCAUACAGAUGAAGCCCACUGAUCGUCCUUCCAUGAGCAAAGUCUUGAAUAUGCUUGAAAGUGAAGUUGAGCUCCUUGAAAUGCCUCCCAAGCCUUCUUUCUCUGGAAAUGUCAACUAAAUAUAGUAAGAAUUCUCCCCGCACACGUGGCAAUCGGCCUUCCUCAGUUAUCUCGUGAUAUUUGUCAUUGGGACACCACUCAACAUUGUGAUCUUGCUAAAUCUGACAACUUCUUCUGUAUUUAGUUUUUUGAAUGGUACGUAGUUUUUGUUUCCACCUAGAUCUAGUAGGCAGUGUUUGUAUUUUCUCUACUACCUUGGUUUGUUUUGUUUCUGCUACUUCUCUAUUGCCCUGUAUGUGACCUCUGAUGGAAUAAAUCAUUUCCUCACUUGUAAAAAAAUUGCAAGAAAAUGUAAUUUUAUUUUUCCCUUAUUUUAUACUGUCAUCCCAAACUCGCAGCACAACAGACGCCACAUACCUGUAAGAUGUAAUCUUACAAACAUGCAAGGGUCCAAUACAUAUACCUUAAAACACUAACUGAAAGACACUAAAAUACCUGAAGAACAAAGUGAUUCAUAAUCGGUAGAAAUUCAAAAAUCAUAAUUCGACAAUAUUCAGAAUUAAGUCUCUAAAACUAUAAAGUUAACAUGUCAAGAUAAAACUCUGAAUACUAAUUUAAGAUAGUUUGAUGUUCAUAAUAUUUAAAUAAAUCCUAGACAACCUAAAUGCUAUUAGAUUAAAACAUCACUCCUUGAAAUUCUCACGUAGUUGACCAAAUCACAACCUAAAAAAAAAAUUGAAAGAAUGAGUGAGUCCAACUACUCGGUAAGUAACAAAUAUCUCACUUCGUACUACAAAAGCCCUCAAAUAUAUGACCAAAAAUGUUAUCGGAAUAUGGAGUUCCAAUGACCCAAAUUUGGAUUGUCAAAACAGUUGAAAACCAAGUUUCUAAUUAAUUUUAAAAAUUCAUAUUUUCUAAACCACAAAACUAAACUAGAUGCUACAAAAACCAUUGGAAAGAUCUUUUCAAGACCUUUCCAUUGGUAACCAUCAUGCCACCGAAAGGUCACCAGAAUAGUGCCGAAUUUGAAUAAAAGUUAAGAAAACAUAAAUAAUUUAGGGCUUUUGUGCCCAACUAUGGAAAUACAACCCUAAACAUACCUUAAUCAGAAAUCCCUUGAAUACUUUUCUCUUUUUUCUAUCUUUCUUCUUCUAUGGUGUUAAGCUUUUCUGACUACCUAUCGUUUGAGUCUGAUGAAAUAAACUGACAUGAGUUUUCUACCUUUUCUUUUAAACUUGUAAACUAACCUAACCUCCACUAUUUUUUUUUUAAACGUGGUUUAGUGAGUUGUGAUCAGGUAAAACAAAUUGACCUUAACCGCACUAACUUAAACAUGAUAAACAAAACUGACAUUAAUUAAACUUCUUUAUUUACUUAAAGACCCCUUUUUCUAUUUUUUAAUUAUUAAGACACUCAAGGUUGUAACUGUAAUUAAAUAAAAUACUAAAACAACAUUUAUUUAUUUAUUUUAUAAAACUAUAGCCUAAUAAAUCUAAAUGUUUUUAUAAUAUAUACUUUGUGAGGGGUAUUACAUCCUUCCCUCCUUAAAAAGGAGUUUAGUUCCUUAAACUCUUACCUUGGUCCUCAAAAAGGCAGGGAUACUUCUUUUUUAUAUUUUUUCUAAAUCCCAAGUCGCUCCUCAUUCUGUAUGAUUACUUCAUUAGAUCUUAACAUAAGGAAUAGUUCGCCUUCUUAGAACUUGCUUCUUUCUAUCCACAACACACAUAGGAUGCUCAUCAUAAGACAAAUCUUCUCUAAGUAUCAAAGGAGCUAACCACACCACAUGACUAGGAUCUGGAACAUAUUUUCUCAACAAAGAAACAUGAAACAUGUUAUGCGCUCUCGAUAAAGCAGGUGGAAGUGCCAACCUAUAAGCCACAUCACCAACCUUAUCCAAAAUCUCAAACGAACCCAUAUAACAAGAACUAAGUUUUCCUCGAAUCCUAAAUUGCAUUACUCCUCUAGUAGGUGAAACUAGCAAAAAGACAUGAUCUCCAACCUCAAAUUCUAUCUUCCUUGUUUUAUUGUUUGCAUAACUCUUCUAUCUACUUUGAGCCGUACGAAGAUGUUCUCUAACUAACUGAACCUUCUCAACUGCUUGUUGAAUAAGAUCUAGACCCAAUAAUUGUCUUUCACCCACAUCAUCCCAACAAAGAGGUGACCUGCACUUCUUACCAUACAAAGCUUUGAAUGAAGCCAUUUGAAUACUAGACUGAUAGCUAUUAUUAUAAGCAAAUUCCGUCCAUGACAAGUGUCGAUCCCAAAAACCUCCAAAAUCCAUGACACAAGCUCUCAACAUGUCCUUAAGAAUUUGAUUAAUUGUCUCGGACUGACCAUCUGUUUGAACAUGAAAAGUAGUACUAAAAUUAAGUCUAGUACCCAAAGAUUUAUGUAGACUCUCUCAAAAUUUCACCACAAAUCGAGAAUCUUGAUCAUAUACAAUGGACACUAGCACCCCAUGCAGUCUCACAAUCUGCUCCACAUAUAACUCCACUAACUUUUCCAAUGACAUUUCCGUACGAAUAGCCAAGAAGUGAGCAGACUUUGUUAAUCUAUCAACAAUCACCUAGAUGCCAUCAUUACCUUUUAGUGUUCUCGGCAACCAGAUAUAAAGUCCAUAGUAAUUCGUUCCCAUUUCCAUUCUAGAAUAAGAAAUGGUUGCAAUAACUCUACUGGCCUCUGAUGUUCAACCUUAAUUUGUUGACAUGUUAAACAUUUGGCUAAAAACUGUGCAAUCUCUCUCUUCAUAUUGUUCCACCAAAAAGUGUUCUUCAAAUCUCGAUACAUCUUGGUACCACCAAGAUGGAUUGUAUAAUUACUAUAAUGAGCUUUCAACAAAAUUUCUCUCUUCAAUUUUGCAUCAUUGGGAACACAAAUUCUAUCACCAAACCUCAAAGAGUCAUCAUCAUGAAUCCUAAAGUCUGGUUUCAAACCAGAAUUAACCCUAAGUUUAAUGUGCUGAAGUCGAAGAUCAUCUACUUGGGCUGUCUUAAUCCGGUGAAUUAAAGUUGGUUGUACUCAUAUGUUAGCCAAUAAUGCUCCAAAACCCUGUAUACAUACACCAAUAUCCAUCCUCCGUAAGUCCUCCAAUAUCUGUUUUUGGGAAGUAAUCAUUGUGGCCAUGUUCCCAAACGUCUUUCUACUUAGAGCAUCAGCAACUCUAUUUGCCUUACUUGGGUGAUAAUUGAUGGUCAAGUCAUAAUCCUUCAACAAUUCUAACCAUCUUCUUUGUCACAUAUUCAACUCCUUCUGCGUGAUAAGAUACUUUAAACUUUUAUUAUCUGUAAAGACCUCACAAGACUCACCAUUCAAAUAAUGUCUCCAAAUCUUUAAUGCGAAACCACUACUGCCAACUUUAAAUCAUGAGUAAGAUAAUUCUCAUCAUAAGGUUUCAAUUGCUUAGAAGCAUAAGCGAUCACCUUAUCAUCCUGCAUAAGAACACACCCAAGUCCCUUUUUGGAAUCAUCACUAUAAACAACAAAUCCCUUACCACUAAUAGGCCUGGUAUGCAUAGGAGCGAAUACUAAUCUUUUCUUUAUCUCCUCAAAGCUCUUUUCAUAAUCAUUUGUCCACUCAAAACAAAUCCCUUUCCAUAUCAAUUUGGUUAAAAGUAAGGCAAUACAAGAAAAAUCCUCUACAAAUUACCUACAGCAUCCUACUAAACCCAGAAAACUGUUAAUCUCAAAAACAUUAUGUGGUCUCUUUCAAUUCACCACUAUUUCAACUUUCUUUGAAUCCACUGAAAUCCCGUCUUUCAACACCACAUGCCCAAGGAAAGCAACACUAAAAAGUCAAAAUUCACAUUUCUUCAAUUUAGCAAAUAACUAUUUCUGCCUCAAAGUCUUCAAAACAACCCUUAGAUGCUCUUUAUGAUCUGCUGAGCUAGGGGAAUACACUAGAAUAUCAUCAAUAAAAAUAACCACAAAUUUAUCCAAAUAAGGUUUAAAAACCCUAUUCAUCAAGUCCAAAAAAGUAACUAGAGCAUUUGUCAACCCAAAAGGCAUAAUAAGGAACUCAUAAUGCCCAUAUCAGGUACGAAAAGUAGUUUUGGGAACAUCCUCAAUUCUCACCUUCAACUGGUGAUAACCAGAUAAAAGAUUAAUUUUGGAAAACACUUAAGUGCCCUUUAGUUGAUCAAAUAAAUCAUAUAUCCCAGGCAAAAGAUACCUAUUAUUCACGGUUGCCUUAUUUAACUCCCGAUAAUCAAAACACAACCUCAUACUCCCAUUUUUUUUCUUCACAAAUAACACUGGCGCUCCCCAAGGAGAUAUACUACAUCUAAUAAAGCCCUUAUCAAGAAGUUCUUGCAACUGCUCUUUCAACUCUUUUAAUUCUAUAAGAGCCAUUUUAUAAGGAGCUUUAGAAAUAAGGUCAGUUUUUGGAACCAAAUCAAUAGAGAAAUCAAUUUCUCUAUUAGGAGGUAAACUAAGUAGAUCUUUAGGAAAAAAUUAGGAAAUUCCCCCAUAAUAAGAACAUCUUCAAUCAUUAACUCCUUCAUUCUAGUGUCUAUAACAGUUGCCAAAAAUCUUUUGUAACCACUAGUAAGCAAUCACCUAGCUUUCAAAGCAAAGAUGACUCGCAAAGGAGUGUAAGAACCACUACCACGAAAAGAAAAAGGUGUUUCCCCGGGAAUCUGAAAGUCUACCCUUUUCCCUCGAUAAUCAACUUUAGCAAAAUUUGCAACUAACCAAUCCAUCCCCAGAAUUAUAUCAAAAUCUUACAUAUCUAAAACAUGAAGAUCUGUAAGCAAUUCUCUAUCUUCAAUCCUUACCACACACAUCUUAUAAAUCUGAUCAGAGAUAAUAUCACCUCUAACUAGAGUGUCUACGCAUAGUUCAUAAUCUAGAAGCAUACAAGGCAAAGCAAACUUUCGAAAAAAUGUAGCAAAUACAAAAGAACGAGAUGCAUUGGUAUCAAACAAUACAUGAGUAAAAGCUGAGGCAACUAGCAGUGUACUUGAGACAACGGUGUUGGAUGCCUCUACAUCCGAUUGAGUGAUAGCAUAAGCACGCCCCUGGGUGCAAGGUCUUCCCACUUUUUGAUGUUCAAAAGAAGGUGUUUGCGUAGUCUAAACAACAUGAGUGGGUUGAGUCCUUUGCGUUGCAGUUUCAAAAGUUCGAGAGUUUUGCGACCUCUGCACAGAUUGAGAUUCUUGAAGGACUAAAGGACAAUUAGCAAUACGAUGGCCCUAUUGUCUACAUUCAGCAGCUCGAUGUCCUCCACCACACACUGAACACCUAGGCUUUUGUGCCCAAACUAUGAAAAUACAACCCUAAACAUAACUUAAUCAGCAAUCCCUUGAAUAUUUUUCCCUUUUUUCUGUCUUUCUUCUUCCUUGGUGUUAAGCUCUUCUGACUGCCUAUCGUUUGAGUAUGAUGAAAUAAACUUGUAAACUAACCUAACUUUCACUAUUUUUUUUUAAACAUGAUUUAGUGAGUUGUUGUCAGGUAAGAUAUACUAACCUUAACCCCACUAACUUAAAUGUGAUAAAUAAAACUGACAUUAAUUAAACUUUUUUAUUUACUUAAAGACCCCUUCUUCUCUUUUUUAAUUAUUAAGGCACCAAAAGUUAAAACUGCAAUUAAAUAAAAUACUAAAAGAACAUCUACUUAUUCAAAAAUGAAUAGUAAAUUUGAUCCAUCAUGUUAAGUAGAUUGGUGGUAAAUUUGAACCUUUUCUCAAACUAUUCUAUGGAGUUUGUUUGUGAAAAUAUGGCAGCACAUGCCCAAAUUAAAUUAGUAAACAACAUACACAUAUUCUAUAAUCAUGUUUUUCAUCUUUGGGUUGGCAAAGAAUGUUUGAGAUUGCAUUGGGAGUGGUUCGAGGUAUUGAAUAUUUACACAGAGGUUGUGAAAUGCAAAUUUUACAUUUUGAUAUCAAGCCACAUAACAUUCUUCUAGAUGAGAACUUCAUCCCGAAAGUUUCAGAUUUUGGCCUUGCAAAGUUGUAUUCAAUGGAUGACAGUAUUGUCUCUCUUACAGCUGCAAGAGGUACAUUAGGAUAUAUGGCUCCUGAAUUGUUCUAUAAAAAUAUUGGAAGCAUUUCAUAUAAUGUUUAUAGUUUUGGAAUGAUGUUAAUGGAAAUUGUCGGAAGGAGAAAAAAUGUGAAUGUCUCUGCUGAACAUUCAUGUCAAAUUUAUUUUCCAUUUUGAAUUUAUGAUCGACUUGAGGAAGGAGAUAUCAUAGAACUUGGAGAUGUAACGGAAAAUGAAAACAAAAUUAUGAGGAAAAUGGUAAUAGUAGCCUUUUGGUGCAUACAGAUGAAGCCCACAGAUCGUCCUUCAAUAAGCAAAGUCUUGGAGAUGCUUGAAAGUGAAGUUGAGCUCCUUGAAAUGCCUCCCAAGCCUGCUUUCUCUGAAAGGUCAACCAAACCAUUAGUUGUAUUAUAAGUAAUAUUUAAUGUUGUACGUUAAGCAAUGUUUCACUACUUUAUCAUACUACUUUUAUAAUUUUUAUAGUAGAAACCUUAAGCUUGAGGCAUAAUCUUCUCUCUUCCAAAAAAAACCAAAAAAAAAAAACAAUAUAGAAUGGUGAGGAAGAAAGUAUAGCAAGGAAAAGAAGGAUACUGAGUUGGAGUUUUGAGCGUGCGAAGGUGUUAUUUUAGAAGAGUUGUAAUGGUAUCUCGUAAGUAUUUUGUCUAUAUAAAAAGUCUUUUGCUCAUAUAAAGAAUAAAGACUUUAAAUAGCAUUAUCGAUAUAUUAUUGCAAAUAAUUAACUUACGUUUUAAAAAAAUUAAAAAUAUUCCUCAACCAUGCUUGGAAUUAUAAUUUUUAUUUAAAAAAAUAAAUUAUUUGAGUUUUAUUUUAAAAAAAUAAAUUAUUUGAGUUUUCUCUCUUAAUUAAAAAGUCAAAUUUUAUCCAAUUCAAAAAUUUAUUUAAAAUGAUUUGAAAUCAAAUUCAACUUAAUUCAAAUUAAAUGACAAAAAUUAAAAAUUUCAAUAUGAAAAUACGUGAAUUUAAAAUGAUAUUAAUUUAAUCCGACACAAUUCAAUGUUAACAUGACUCGAAUCUAAAACGAACCGAGCUCAUAAUGAUCAAAAAUCCAAGAUUUAUUGGAUCCAAAACUUACAAAAACUUAAAUUUAUAACUCCCAAAAAUCCAAAUUAUAAUUAAAUAAUUUUAUUUAAUAAUUAAAUAAGUAAAUGAUUAAUUUUUAAGUGAAAAUUUUAAGACACACAAGCACCUUUUUCUCGUCAAUGCUUCUUCGUUACUCAGAAACAGCUCAUAAGAAUGGCAUGGUCAACUACUCUGCUUCACCUUCACUUCAAAUCCCCUCCGGUUUCUUCUCACCAAUUCCCACAUUCCCCCCCAAAAAUCCCCGAUCUUCCUAAACCCUAACCCUAUAAUUCCCAAACCCAAACCCCCCAAAAUGCAAUUCCUUCACAGGCCCAACGCGUUUCCAGGCCACGGCGCAGUAUCAAGAGCCAUGGACAUCAUCCAAUCCUCACCGCCCACGUGGGAAUCGGCCUUCCUUACCAACAUCCUGAUCUUCGUCGUCGGGACUGCACUUUUAGUAGCGGGGCUUUCUCUCUCCGAAAUUUUCGCUUCCUUCUUGCUUGGCACUCUCACUUGGCGAGCUUUCGGGUCUUCUGGAUUCCUCCUCAUUGCUUCUUACUUCGUUAUAGUGAGUCACUAAAAAGUCUAUGAAUUUUAUUUGAAUUAUGGGAUUUACGUUAAAAUUGGAAAUGGGUUCUGAUUUUCGCUCCCAUUUGGUAUAAAGUUUAUGCUCUGGAUGACAAGUUUCAUUGUUUGGUAUUUUGGCAAAGGAAAAAAAAUUUAGUUUAUGUCAAAAAGAUUUAACGUGAAGUAUUUAGUUAUUUAAGUGUGAUUUGUUUUUAUUUCAAGAAUUGGAUUACACUAGGUGAAAACAGGUCAAAACUAUAACCAAAACAUUUUUCCAAAAUUCUUUUUUAUUUUCAUUUGUUUUCUUCUUGGUGGGGGCAGGUGAAGGGAGAUUUUAUUUGCUUUUGACAUGUUUCUUAAGUAUAAAGUUGAAGUAGAAGAUAAACUGAAUAAAAAAAUAAAAAAAGUUAAAUUAGAUAGAGAGGGUGAAUAUUUACCUAUUAAUGAUAUUUGUGAAAAGAAAGAAAUAAUUUAUAAAAUUACUCUCUCAUAUUCUACUGAAUCAAAUAGUGUAGUUGAAAGGAAAACUAAAACAUUAAAAGAAAUGAUGAAUUAUAUGCUUAUUAGUUCUAAUGCACAUGAAAAUUUGUAGGGUGAAGUUAUAUUAUUUGCAUGUCAUAUUCAAAAUAGAAUUCACUGCAAGAAAACUGAUAAGACACCUUAUGAAUUGUGAAAAGUCUAUUCUUCUAACUUAAAAUAUUUAAAAGUAUGAGAGUGUUUAGCUAAUGUUAUGCUUCUUGAUUUUAAGAAAAGAAAAAUUGACUCUAAGAUGUCCGGUUGCAUGUUUAUUGGCUAUACCAAAUAUAGUGCUGCAUAUAAAUUUCUUGUACUAAAAAAUGAUGUUUUUGAUAAUAAUACAAUUAUUAAAACAAAAAAUGUUGAAUUUUUUUGACAUAUUUUUCUAUUGAGAACUGAUACAAUUUUUCUUCCAUCUUUUAGUGAAAAUGUUUUUUUAAAUGCAAAAUGAUGAUUUGAGAAGAAGUAAAAGACAAAAGAAAGAAAUUUCUUUUUGUAAUGAUUUUUACACUUAUCUUGUAGAUAAUGAUCUUUUAAAUUAUGCUAAUUCAAUUUCUUCUAAAGAAUGUCCAUUUUGAAAAGACGUUAUACAAAAUGAGAUUGAUUCUAUUUUACAAAAUCAAACCCGGGAAUUAAUUUAUUUACCACCUGAAGCUAAGCCAAUUGGUUGUAAAUGGAAUUUUUAAAAAAAAUUUAAUCUUGAUUAUUUUAUUGAUAAAUACAAAAUUAAAUUAGUUGCUAAGGGUUUUACCAAAAAAUAAAAUAUUGAGUAUUUUGAUACUUUUGCUCUAGUAACAAGAAUUUCAUCUAUUUGUAUUUUAAUUGCCUUAGCUUCGAUUUACAAACUUUUUGUUCAUCAAAUGAAUGUUAAAACAGUUUUUUUAAAUGAUGAUUUAGAAGAAGAAAUUUAUAUGACACAACUCGAGGGAUGUGUACUUCUUGGUCAAGAAAACAAAAUUUGUAAAUUAAUUAAAUCUCUAUAUACUUAAAACAAGCACCAAAAUAAUGGUAUGAGAAAUUUGAUUAAAUUCUUGUUAAUAAUAGAUUUUUUACUAUUGGAGUUGAUAAAUGUGUGUACACAAAAACUAUUGAUAACGAAUAUAUGAUUAUUAGCUUAUAUGUUGAUGAUAUGUUUAUUUGUGGUACAUGCAUUGAUGUGGUAAAUAAAACAAUAUGUUUCUUAACUUAUAAAUUUGAUAUGAAAGAUUUGGGAGAAACCAAUAUUAUUUUGGGUGUUAAAGUCAUAAGAUGUGAGAGUGGCCUAAUGUUAACACAAAAACAUUAUAUUGAGAGGUUACUUAAAAAGUUUAGACAUUUUAAUGUCACACUUGUGAAUACUCCUUAUAAUGUUAAUACCCAAUUAAAGAAAAAUAGAGAUGAUAGUAUGGCUCAACCUUAGUAUGCAUAGAUUUUUAAAAGUUUGAUGCAUUUGAUGAAUUAUACUUGACUUGGUAUAGCUUAUGUUAUGUGUAGACUGAGUAAAUAUACAUAAAGUCUCAAUCAAGAUCAUUGAACUGUUUUGAAUAGAGUAAUGAAAUAUUUGAAAUGUACCAUAAACUAUGAUAUUUUAUAUAAUAGAUUUUCCGUUGCAUUAGAAAGGUACAAUAAUGUUAACUUAAUCUCAUAUUCAGAUGAGACAAAAUUCAUGAGUGAUUAUGUAUUCACCAUUGGUGUGGAUGCUGUUACUUAGAAAUUAGUCAAAUAAAUAAUAAUUACUAAAUCUACAGUGGAAUCAGAAUUUAUAGUUUUAGAAUUAACUAGUAAUGAGGUUGAAUAGUUAAGAAACCUCUUAACAGAUAUUUCAUUAGAAAUGAAACCAACACCUUCUGCGUCUAUGUAUUGUGAUUGUCUAACGGCAAUAAACAUUGUGAAGAAUAAAACUUUCAAUGGUAAGAAUAGACACAUUUGUUUAAGAUAUGAUGUGGUAAAAUAAUUACUUAGAGAUGAAAUUAAUGUCCAUUAAUUAUACGAAGUCAUAUACCAAAAAAUAUAAAUUAUGAAACCGAUGAAUCCUUUUAGAACUAUUAUUUUGCAUUUCAAUAAGUCCAUGGUGGAAUUUUAAGACUGCACAAAUGAAUUCAUAGGAUUGUUUAAGUGAUUUUAUUUAUAUGUUAUUGCAGACAGAUUACAAAAAUUCCUUUCCUGUUAGUUUCGUUAUCAAUCAGUUCAUACGUUAUUUUCUUCAUUAAUUCUUGUUUGAGUGGAAAAUCAUCUCAGAGCUAUGAUUGGCUUGUGUUGAAGUUGUUGGAUUGAAUUAAUUAGUUGACUGGACUGACUUUUCAAACGAAGACGAGUGAGGGAGAAAGACCGCACCAUUAAAAGUUGACUGACUUUUCAGUUACCGCAUGAAACCGUACAACUCUCAGACGUGAGUCUGAAAAAUGUGCAAUUUUGCUAAUAUAUGCAUGUGAUAUUUUUGUCCAAAAUAUUAUCAAAACAAAUUGUAUAGAACUGUGAAAUCCGUAAAAGUUGUUUGCAAAAAGGUUUUUAACAGCACAAGUUAAAGAAAAAAGGUCAAAGGAAGAUUUGAUUUCAAUUACAGCCACAGAAAUAAUUAACAAAGCAAUAAAGAUAACAUUAUCCUAACUCUUAUUUAAUCUCUCUCGUUAAACUUUGUUAUACUUAAUUCUCCUAAAAAAAACUUUUUUAUACUUACAAAAAAUAAAUAUAAGAUAUGGAGAUUGAUCAAUUUUAUUUAGAAUUAUUAUUUUAUAUAUUUGCAAUGAAAUUUUGAAAUUCCAAAUUUCAUAACAUUAUUUAAGUCAUAUUAUAUAUCUACAUAUAUAUAUAUUAUGUUAAGGGGUAUAUUGAUCUCACUAAUGUGCAGAUAUACUUGGAUGAAUUACCCAUGAGUGCUAUGGUAGGCUUUGUGUUAAAUGUGUUUUCUGGUUUGGGUUUAAUUAGUUGUCUGACUUUUCAAAAGAAGACUUGGUUUUAACAAUAAAUAUAAGAGAACAUCAUAGUGCUUCUUCACAAACUAAUUAAGCCCUUAAUCUCCUUCUCUCCCACUGAAAUUUUAGGAUGCUAAGAGCAAAGCUUCCAUUAUUCGGCCUUCUGGCCCUUGCUUUAUCUCUAUUCCCUGAUGCAUGCAUCGCUAGAGGCAAACACAAGCACUGUGGCUCUUCUUUCUGUGGAAACAUUAAUAUCACUUCCCCUUUUCGAUUAAAAAGUCAGCCUCGAAGUUGUGGUUACAAUCGUUAUGAACUAGUAUGCGAGAAUAACCGCACCAUUUUCCCCAUGAAACAUGGGAAUUUCUAUGUCCAACACAUCUCUUAUAGUGACGAAACCAUUCAACUGUUAGACGUGAGUCUUGACAAGGAUAACUUUUUUAUACAAUGAAUUUAUAAGAUUGCUUGAAUGAUUUUAUUCCUAUUUGAGUGGAAAAUCAGCUAAGAGCUAUGAUUGGCUUGUGUUAAAGUGGUUGGCUUUAAUUUGUUGACCUGACUGACUUUUCGAACGAAGACAAGUGAGCAAGAAUAACCACACAUUUUCCCCAUGAAAUAUGAGAAUUUCCAUGUGGAAAAAGCCAUAUAAGUCUUAGAGGUGAGUCUUACCAAGCCACUCGGUAGGAGAUAGGGUAUACAUCUCCCUCAUCAUAAGUAUCCAUGCACGUCAAUAUAGGGUCAUGUGUAUCUCUUAAAUUGCAGGAUGAAGAUGAAUUCUUCGGUUUACAUUGAUGCUUUCCAUUGCACCAAUCGAUGUUCCUCUCCACGCUAUUUUGUUUCUUCAGUCAAAUUAUUGUCUGGUUAACAACUAAUGGAAAUGUAAGGACGGAAUAUUCACGUGAUAUGUUGCAUAAUUUAUACUAUAAUAUUUUAUCAUUGUUAACGGCACAAUUUGAUAAAAAGAUCAAAAUGAAAUCAUUGUAUUAUAUUUUGUGUAAAAUGCAUAAAAAAAAAGAAUUCUAAAUUUNNNNNNNNNNNNNNNNNNNNNNNNNNNNNNNNNNNNNNNNNNNNNNNNNNNNNNNNNNNNNNNNNNNNNNNNNNNNNNNNNNNNNNNNNNNNNNNNNNNNNNNNNNNNNNNNNNNNNNNNNNNNNNNNNNNNNNNNNNNNNNNNNNNNNNNNNNNNNNNNNNNNNNNNNNNNNNNNNNNNNNNNNNNUCUAUACUUAACAAAAGAUAAAUGUAAAAUAUAAAAUUGAUCAAUUUUGUUUAGAAUUAUUAUUUUAUAUAUUUUGAAAUUUUGAAAUUUCAAAAUAUAUAAUAUUAUUUAAGUCGUAUUAUAUAUUAUAUUAUUGAAGGCUUAUAUUAAUCUCCCUACUGUGCAGAUAUACUUGGAUGAAUUAUAAAGAUGUCUUUUCUAUCAGUUUCGCUACGUACCAAUUGGUUGGACACAUAUUUUAUUCUUUCUUAUUUGUUUGUGUUAAAAGUGUUUUGCGGUUUGGGUUUAAUUAGUUGACUGACUUUUCAGAAGAAGACUUGGUUUUAAUAAUAAAUAUAAGAGAACAUCACAGUACUUCUUCACAAACUAAUUAAGCCCUUAAUCUCCUCUCCCGCUGAAAUUUUAGGAUGCUAAGAGCAAAACUUCCAUUAUUUUGCCCCUUGGCUUUUGCUUUAUCUCUAUUCCCCGAUGCAUGCAUGGCUAGGGGCAAAAACAAGGACUGUGGCUCUUCUUUCUGUGGAGAAGUUACCAUCAAAAAGCCCUUUCAGUUAAAAAGCCAACCUCUCAGGUGUGGAAACCGUGGGCUUGAAGUCGAGUGUGACGACAAUAACCGCACCACUUUCCCCAUGAAAUAUGGGAAAUUCCUUGUCCAAGACAUCUCUUAUAAUAACGGCACAAUUCAUAUUAUAUUAUAUUUUUAUGUAUGUUUGUAUCUAUAGUAUUAGUUGUUUAAACUUUUUGGGUGCAAUUCUUUUUCAUAUAUAAUUAACAGCUUUUAUAAAACAGCAGUCUUUGUCACUAUAUAUGCUUGUAAAUCUCUCUUUAACUGCAAUUUUUUUGUCCAAAAUACUUCUAAUAAAAGAUUGUAUAGAGCAGCCAAAUUUGUAAAGUUCUAUCCUAAUUAAAACACUUUCAAUAACAUCUUAAAAAAAUUAAAUGCCAAAGUUAUUGUAGUGUGUUUUUCCCCUUUGGCUCUAGACUCUAGUUUAUUAAAUUUUCAAAGGAAGAUUUGCUUUCAUUUGCAGCCACAGAAUGAUAAGCAGAGCUACCAAGAUAAGAUUAUCUUAGUUCUUAUUUAAUCUUUCUUUUCAAACUUUUUUAUGCAUAUAAAAAAAUGUGAAAUAUGGACGGAUUAGUUCUUUUAGACUUAAUAGGUUGAUGGUGAAAUUUUAAGACUACACAACAUAUUUAUAGGAUUGUUUUUUAUUUAUAUUUUAUUGGGGGUUAAUAUUAGUCUCCCAACUUAGACGAAUAACAAAAAUUCCUUUGCUAUCAAUUUCGUUAUCAAUCAGUUGCAUACGUUAUUUUCUUCACUUAAUUUCUAUGUGGAAAAAGCCAUAUAAGUCUUAGAGGUGAGUCUUGACAAGGAUAACUGCUCCAUUCCUUAUAGUUCCUAUCCUUGCUACAGCCCUUGUGGAAAAAGCCUAUCACUUGGUAGAAGAUAUGGUAUACAUCUCCCUCGUCAUAUGUAUACAUGCACCUCAAUAUAGGGUCAUCUAUCUCUUAAAUUGCAGGAUGAAGAUGAACAUUUGGUUUACAUCGAUGCUUCUCAUUCCACCAAUCGGUGUUCCUCUACAUCUUCUUUUGUUUCUUCGGUAUUUUACAUUGUUAAUGGGACAAUUUGAUAAAAAGAUCAAAAUAAAAUUGUUUCAAAAUAUUAUACACAUGAAAAAAUAUUACGAAUUUAAUUUGAUUACUUUAUUGCGAAAGUUGCAAAAAUAAUUGUAGAAGCAUGUAUAAUGAUUAUGGGCAUUAUUUGAAUAGAUAUUUUUCUCCUUUUUCGCGUCCGACUGAUCGUAACUUAUCUUCAAAUUCAAAUAAAAAAGAAAAAAAAUUCAAGACUGAGAGUAUUUUAGAUAGUCAUUCAAGAGCUUGACUGAUUUCAUAUUGGUCUGUGCAACAAAUUUGCAAAUUUUUUAAAAGACAACUUUGAACUUUAGACAUGCAUAAUUUUUUUAAUACACAGGGAAAAUGUAUAUAUAAAGUACAAGGAAAGAUAUAUCUAUAUAAAUUAAAUUAAUUUUACACACCCUUUUAUAUUUUUUUAUACAAUUUAUAUUUUGUUAAUCCAAUCAUUGAUUUCAAAUUAUAUUCACAUAAAUCAUGCAUAACAGAUUUCAAAUUAAUUAAAACUGAUUAACUAUUUAUUUGAUAAAAAUAAAAUUUCAAUUGUUAAAUAUAUUGAAAAAAUAAACAUUUUACCAAAUUGACUUUGAAAUUACAUGAUAAGUACAAGUUGUUAAAUCUAACAAUAAAAUAUUAAUUUUUAAAGAAAUUAUAAAAAAUGUAAAACUAAUUAGUUUUACGCAAAAAAAUUAAUUUAUUGUUAUUUAGGCUUUUGUGUGCAAUUUUUUCAUAUUUAACAGUAGUUGAAAAUAUGCGGUCUUUACUAAUAUAUGCAUGUGAUAUUUUUGUCCAAAAAUUACCAAAAACAUAUAGAACUGCGAAAUCCGUAAUGUUGUAUGGAAAAGGAUUUUUAACAACACAAGCGAAAGAAAAAAUUUAAUAAAUACAAAGUUAAUAUAGUUUGUUAUUUCCACUUAUUCAAAGGAAGAUUUGAUUUCAAUUGCAGCCACAGGAAUAUUUAGCAAAGCAAUGAAGGUAACAUUAUCCUAACUCUUAUUUAAUCUUUCUGGUUAAACUUUUUUUUACAUAAUAUUCCCAAAAAAAAACUUUUUAUACUUAUAAAAAUUAAAUAUAAGAUAUAUGGAGAUUGAUCAAUUUUACUUAGAAUUAUUAUUUUAUAUAUUAGCAAUGGAAUUUUGAAAUUCCAAAUUUUAUAACAUUAUGUAAGUCACAUUGUAUUUAUUUAUUUAUUGAGGGGUUAUAUUAGUCUCCCUACCGUGCAGAUAUGCUUGGAUGAAUUAGAAAGAUUUCUUUUCUGUCAGUUUCGUAAUGUAUCAAUUGGUUGGACACAGAUUUUCUUCUUUCUUGUUUGUUUGUUUGCGUGGAAAAUCACCCAUGAUUACUAUGAUUGGCUUUGUGGUAAAAGUGUGUUGCGGUUUGGGUUUAAUUAGUUGACUGACUUUUCAAAAGAAGACUUGGUUCUAACAAUAAAUCUAGGAGAACAUCAUAGUGCUUCUUCACAAACUAAUUAAGCCCUUAAUCUCCUUCUCUCCCGCUGAAAUUUUAGGAUGCUAAGAGCAAAACUUCCAUUAUUCGGCCUUCUGGCCCUUGCUUUAUCUCUAUUCCCUGAUGCAUGCAUCGCUAGAGGCAAACACAAGCACUGUCGCUCUUCUUCCUGUGGAAACAUUAACAUCACUUACCCUUUUCGAUUAAAAAGCCAGCCUCAUAGGUGUGGUUACAAUGAGCUUGAACUAGUGUGUGAGAAUAACCGCACCAUUUUCCCCAUGAAAUAUGGUUAUGGGAAUUUCUAUGUCCAACACAUCUCUUAUAGUAACAAAACCAUUCAAAUGUUAGACGUGAGUCUUGACGAGGAUAACUGCUCCAUUCCUCAUAGUUCCUACCCUUUCUACGUGGAUGCACUAAAUAUAUAUUCCUAUCAAACUACCACUGAACCUAGCAUCAUGUAUCUCGUAAAUUGCCCGAUCCAGAUCAACAACUCUUGGGUUUAUAUUGAUGCUUUUCGUUGUACCAAUACCCCUUCCUCUCGACCUCCUUACUUUUACUUUUUGGAUGAAAAUACUGCAAUGUCUAAUUUCCAUGAGUCAUGCACAGUUGAAGCGCAGGUUCCAAUCAUGGUUGCCAAUAUCACUGGCCUCUCUACUUUUGAUAUUUACACAAAGCUGUUGGAGGGAUUCCAACUCUCAUGGUCUUCGUAUGAUGAUAUGUCAAGGUGAGACUCAGUUUUUAACGCGUGAGGAUUUUUAAGUAUUCCAAACUAUUUGGUGCAUUUUAGUUUUUGAAAAGUAUUUAUUAUUUUUAGUUUUUAAUUUUUAAAUUACCUUUUUAACUAUGUAUAUAAAUUUUUAUAAUUAGAAUCACAAAUUUUUAUUACUGUAGUAUCUUCUUCAGACUUUGAUUAUUUACUUUUACUCUAAAUUUGUUUAAUGUAAAAUUUAAACAGAAGCAUUUAAAAUAUUUUAAACAGUGAAAGUGCGCAUUUCAUGGCCUUAUUAAGGAUAACGGUUUUGAUGUGCUUUCUUGAAUAUUAAUUAUAGAUUGCUCUGGCUGUUGCUGCAUCCGCUGCAAAUAUAUAUUCAAAGCAUCAUGGCUUUGUUUCAACCAGAUUAUUUCUAUGCACCUUAUAAAGGUAUUCGUUCUUUUUUGAGUUCAUUAAUAAUUUGAUUCUUAUUGGAUUGGCCUUUACUUUCCUGUAUAGUUGACUUGACUCUUUACGUGCAUCAUAAGUAAACUGUUAAAUUUAAUAGUUGGUUUAUUAAAAUAUUAAUAGUAUACGAAGUUAUAAAAAAUUUAUAAAAAUUAAUUAAUUAAUUUUAUAGUGGUGUUGUGUGAGUAUCGCAUAUAUGUAUACGUAUGUAUCCAAGUGACUACAUAAAAGAAGAUCCAUCAUAAAUGAUUCAUAAAUAAUUUUGAACUACAUUAAUUGGGUAUUUUUUAACUAGGUAUUUUUAUGAUGUUGUGAUUUUUUUGGUCAAAAUAAAAAUUAUGUGGAAUAAGGUCUAAAUUUACCAUUCUAUAUAUUUCGGAUAAUGGAUCAAACUUGUCAGCAUCUUUGAACGGGUGUAAUUUUGCCAUUAUACUUUUAAAUUAGUUAAAAAUGUAAUCAAAAGUUAAGACUAAUGUUAAUUUUUGACCAUUUUUGAAGUAAAUUAAAAUGUAUAAUGGUAAAAAUUGCACUUGUUUAAAAAUAAAAUAAUAAAUUUGAUCCAUCACCUUAAAUAAACUAGUGUGUGUAAAUUUAAAUUUUAUCCCAAAUUAUGUUAUGAAUUUUGUUGGGGAAAAUAUGGCAGCACAUACCCAACUUAAAUUGGUAAAUGACAUAUGCAUAGCAUAUAAUCAUGUUGUCCAACUAAUUAAUAUAUAUAUUGUUAUGUAAUUUUUUUUUUGUGAAACAGGAAUUAUAUUGCUAAGAACACUUUUGGGGAUAAUUUGCUUGAUUAUAUUGGUUAUACGCAAAUUAAAAAGGAGGCAUUUGUCGAUGGAUGACAUGAUUGAGAAUUUUCUUCAGAGUCAAAACAAUUUAAUGCCUAUAAGAUAUUCUUAUUCUGAAAUAAAAAGAAUGACGGAAGGUUUCAAGAAUAAACUAGGACAAGGAGGAUAUGGCUCUGUGUUUAAAGGAAAACUUCGAAGUGGUCAAUUUGUUGCGGUAAAAUUGUUAAACAAAUCAAAAGCUAAUGGUCAAGAUUUCAUCAAUGAAGUUGCAACUAUUGGAAGAAUUCAUCAUGUUAAUGUAGUAAGACUCAUUGGAUUUUGUGUGAAGGGAUCGAAACAAGCUCUUGUAUAUGACUUCAUGCAAAAUGGAUCCUUAGAUAAAAUAAUAUUUUCAACUGAAAGUAACACUUUGAGUUGGCAAAAAAUGUUUGAGAUUACAUUGGGAGUGGCUCGAGGUAUUGAAUAUUUACAUAGAGGUUGUGAAAUGCAAAUUUUACAUUUUGAUAUUAAGCCACAUAACAUUCUUCUAGAUGAGAACUUCAUCCCGAAAGUUUCAGAUUUUGGCCUUGCAAAAUUGUAUUCGGUGGAUGAUAGUAUUGUCUCUCUCACGGCUGCAAGAGGUACAUUAGGAUAUAUGGCUCCUGAAUUGUUUUAUAAAAAUAUUGGAAGCAUCUCAUAUAAAGCUGAUGUUUAUAGUUUUGGAAUGAUGUUAAUGGAAAUUGUCGGAAGGAGAAAAAAUGUGAAUGUCUCUGCUGAACAUUCGAGUCAAAUUUAUUUUCCAUCAUGGAUUUAUGAUCGACUUGAAGAAGGAGAUAACAUAGAGCUUAGAGAUGUAACGGAGAAUGAAAACAAAAUUAUGAGGAAAAUGUUAAUAGUAGCCUUUUGGUGCAUACAGAUGAAGCCCACAGAUCGUCCUUCAAUGAGCAAAGUCUUGAAGAUGCUUGAAAGUGAAGUUGAGCUCCUUGAAAUGCCUCCCAAGCCUGCUUUCUCUUGAAAUGUCAACCAAAUCAUUUGGUGUUGUAUUAUAAGUAAUAUUUAAUAUUGUAUGUUAAGCAAUGUUUCACUACUUUAUUAUAUUACUUUUAUAAUUUUUAUAGUAGAAACCUUAAGCUUGAGGCAUAAUCUUCUCUCUUCCAAAAAAAAACAAAAGAAACAAAAACAAUAUAGAGUGGUGAUGAAGAUAGUAUAGCAAGGAAAAGAAGGAUACUGAGUUGGAGUUUUGAGCCUGCGAAGGUAUUAUUUUAGGAGAUUUGUAAUGGUAUCUUGUUAGUAUUUUGUUUAUAUAAAAAGUCUUUUGUUCAUACAAAGGGCAAAGACUUUAAAUAGCAUUGUCUAUACAAUCAUUAUGUUAAUGCAAAUAGUUAACCAAGUUUUUAAAAAAAUUAAAGAUUUUUCUAAACCAUGUUUGGAAUUAUAAAUUUUUUAUUUAAAAAAUGUAAAUUAUUUGAGUUUUCUCUCUUAAUUAAAAAAGUCAAAUGUUAUCGAAUUCAAAUAUUUAUUUAAAACGAUUCAAAAUCAAAUUCAAUUUAAUUCAAAUUAAAUGACAAAAAUUAAAAAUUUGAAUCCAAAAAUAUGUGAAUUUAAAAUGAUAUUAAUACAAUCUACCUUCAACAUAACUCGAAUCUAAAACGAACCGAGCUCAUAAUGAUCCAAAACCCAAGAUUUAUUUGAUCCAAAACUUAUAAAAACUUAUAUUUAUAACUCCAAAAAAUCCAAAUUAUAAUUAAAUAAAUUUAUUUAAUAGCUAAAUGAGUAAAUGAUUAUUUUUUAAGUGAAAAUUUUAAGACACACAAGCACCUUUUUCUCGUCAAUGCUUUUUCUUUGCACAGAAAAAGCGCAUAGGAAUGGCAUGGUCAACUACUCUGCUUCACCUUCACUUCAAAUUCCCUCCGGUUUCUUCUCAUCAAUUGCCACAUUCCCUCCCCAAAAAAUCCCCAAUCUUCCUAAACCCUAUCCCUAUAAUUCCCAAUUCCAAACACCCCAAAAUGCAAUUCCUUCACAGACCCAACGCGUUUCCAGGCCAAGGCGCAGUAUCAAAAGCCAUGGACAUCAUCCAAUCCUCUCUGCCCACGUGGCAAUCGGCCUUCCUCAGCAACCUCGUGAUCUUCGUUGUCGGAACCCCACUUUUAAUAGCGGGACUAUCUCUCUCCGGAAUUUGCGCUGCCUUCUUGCUUGGCACUCUCACUUGGCGCGCUUUUGGGUCUUCUGGGUUCCUCCUCGUUGCUUCUUACUUCGUUAUAGUGAGUCAUUACAAAGUCUAUGGAUUUUAUUUGAAUUAUAGGAUUUAAGUUAAAUUUAGAAAUGGGGUUCUGAUUUUUGUUCCCAUUUGGUAUAAAGUUUACGCUUUGGAGGACAAGUUUCAUUGUUUGGUAAAUAUGGCAAAGGAAAAGAAAUUUAGUUUAUGUCAAAAAGAUUUCAUGUGACGUAGUUUGUUAUUUAAGUGUGAUUUGUUUUUGUUUAAAGAAUUGGAUUACACUAGGUGAAAUCAGGUCAAAACCAUAACCAAAAUAUUUUUUCCAAAAUUUCUUUAUUUUCAUUUGUUUUCCUCUUGGUGGGGGGCAGGUGGAGGAGCCAGGGAGAAUUUAUGGGUUCUCGCAGUUUUAGACUAGUUUGAAACGAUAUAGUAUUGUUUUUCCUGCUUUCCUUUCUGAUAAUGGCUUGUUUUACUUGCAAAAUGAAUCUUGAAUUAGUUCCUCCUUCCCUCUUCUGAUUUUCCCUACCCAUAUUUCUAGUUGAAGAUAAUAGUUUCAAAUCAUGCUUGAAAACUAUAUUACAAAAUACUUGUAAUAUCAAACAAUUUUGUGUGGCAUUCGAGUUUCUAAUUUGAAUGGAGAAAUAAUUGGGAUGGAAGUGGUAUUAAAUUUAGAGGAAAGAAACAAGAAUGCCUUUUGCAACAUUACAAAGAAAAGAAAAGAAAACCUAGUAUAAAACUUCGGAAGAUGCUUGAUUAUAAGGUGCUGGGCUUUUGAGGACCUGAGACUUCAUAAUACUUUAUAAUUCUCUAGAUCUUCAGGCAAUCUUACAGCUCUUUGUCAUGCCUCUAAAACAAAUGCGGUAAAACCAUGCUCAAUUGUUCAAAUUGUUAUGCUCAAUUGAGAACUCCUGACCUGUUAUGUGUGUGUGGAGAUGAUAACACCAAUGAAUGGCCUUGUUAUACGGAUGACCGCUCAUGAUAAUUGCUACUUCAAAAAUUAUUGGCUUAGAUUUUGCUGCUGUGUUUUGAAACUUGUUGGCAUGCCUCACGAAUGCUGCGAAAUGUGCAGAAGGUUUCUGAGAUCUUGCUGCCAUCUAAGAAGAAAGAAUAGGUGAAAUUGUACAGGUACUAUGAAUAUGAUGUAAUGUUUAGCUUUUUUAUAGGGACUUCCUUUUUGUAUAGUGAACUUGGUUGCAUUGGAAUGAGUCUGUUCUCUGGGAAGAAUCACUGUUCUGAAAUUUGUUAAGUCUGAUCACAAUUGCAACCAGGAGCGGCAUGCCUUGCUUUUCUUCUCAUAGGGCAUGAGGGUAUCCCAUCAGGGUUCUUUUUGUGAACCCCUCUUAUGAAAUAACAUCUUCUAUGCCUUUCCAAAAAAAAAAAAGUAACAAUCACAUGGCAUAAUUUUUUCUUACAAUAUGAGAGUACUACAUCAGAGUUUCUUAAUGCACUAAGAAAAGUUAGAGAUAAGGUCUAAGAAAAUAUCAAUUUCAAGAAGAAACAAAUAACACUAGAAUCAUAUUUUACAAAAAUAUCAUAAUUGAGUCAUGUAUAUAAAUAAUUUUGAUGUAUGAGGAAAUUAUUAAUUUAUAUAUCAAGUGAGAUCUAUGUGUUUUUUUUCAAAAUGUAUUAUCUUAUUAAUUUAACAAAUUAUUAAUUUAUCAUGUUGAUCUCAAAUCAGGACCAACCAAAAUUAAUAUUUAUUCAAAAUUAUUAAUUUAUCAAGUAUUAUUUAUAGAAGAUUUGUUGUACUUCUUUGUAAUUCACUCUAAAUAAAAGGGUAUGUUGAAACAAGCGGAAUUUAGAUCCCUUAUGGUUCUUGCUACAUUUAAGUACUAUUAAUGUCAUUUAUGCUGGUUAUAAAGAUCUGACAUUUUAUUUAGAAACAAAAUUUGUAGAGUGUCAAGCUUUAAUAGCUUUUUUUUUUUGUUGCUUUUUAAUGUUUAUAUUCGUUGCUAUAUACUAUUUUUUUCCCUAUCAAACCAUUCUUUCAUGCUUACAAAUUUAAAUUUGUGGUGUGCAAAAAUUGUUGGUGUAUUUUCAAAAAUCAAAGGUUAUGUCACAUAAUCAAAAGCUAUCUUAGCUCAAAGGUUUGUCACAUAAAGUGACAUAGUGUGACUAUUGGAUUGUAGACAGGUUAUNUUGGUGUAUUUUCAAAAUCAAAUGUUAUGUCACAUAAUAAAAAGCUAUUUUAGCUCAAAGGUUGUCACAUAAAGUGACAUAGUGUGACUAUUGGAUUGUAGACAGGUUAUUGUUUCAUUAGAUAUGAAAAGUUAUUGUUUCAAAUUAUAACUCAAAGAUUAUGAUUUAUGGAAUGAAUAGUUGUCCUUUCAUUAGAUGAUUAUUGAAACAAUACAUUUAUCUUAAAGUUGUGUCUAGCAAAAUGUAAAGAUGUCUUUUAGACAAAAUGGUGUCUUAAUAAAAGGGUUGUGUCCUUGAAGAAGAGACACUUGCAAGCCUAUGUAAAGGGCUUGUUGCCAACCAUUUUUACACAUCAAAUCAAAAACAAAACAAGAACAGAAAAUCAAGAGUAAGAAAGUGUUGUGUUCUAUUAACAUAAACACUUAAGUUCCCAUCAACUACAAAAGCAUCAAAAUUUCUUAUAAUCUACUUGUUGUAGAAAGUAAGCUCUAAAGCCAAACAACUUUGCAAACCCUUAGAUAUAUCUAGUGGUCUACUCUCGUAAAGUGCAAGACAAAGUUAAACGUUAGCUUCAUUGUAUCCUUAAAACUAUUCGCAUUAUUUCUCUUUGCAUACUGAGUGGUGGGGAUGAAAUAAGUUUUAAAAAUAAUGUCUAUUGAAAAGCUCGCCUUAAAAUCAAUUUUGUUGGUUCUUAAAUUUCAUCUAAACCUCAUUUGCACCAACAAAAAUGAACAGGUACCUACUUUACUUUAUUAUUCUACUUUUAUUAUAUAAUUUUUAUAGUCUCCUUUUUCAUCUUAUAUACGGAAUCAGAUCCAUAUAGAAACCUUAAGCUUGAGGCAUAAGCUUCUCUCUUAUGAAAAUAAAAUAAAAUAAAAUAAAAUAAAAAUCAAGAGCAGUAUAUAUACCAUUGUGAAUGAAUAAAGUAUAAAAUCAUAGUGCCUUUUGAGAUACAAAACAUUGUGAAUGCGACAAGAAGUAUUAGUUGUAAUGUGUUAAUGGUCAUUUUUAAAUCAAAUUAAAAAUGUUACUAUUAGCAAUAUCAAGAAUUGCCAAGGAGAAAUUCAUUGAUAAAAUGACAAAUACCCGAAUUCUCUUCAUUGGCAACUUUACUAAAAAUCACUUUCAACGAAAAAAAAUUAGUAAAAGAUCUUCCAUAUUAUCUCUAUAUAUAGUAUAAUAUCAAAAUUUAGUAUUCUAAAAAUUUUAUUUUAUGCUGUUUUAGUACUAACAUAUUUUAAACAAUAUCAUUGUUUAUAUUAUUAUUACACGGACACUACUUACAUAUAAUAUAUAUAUAUAUAUAUAAAAGAUAAUAGCAUUGUUAGCUUUAUUAGAAUGAAUAAUUGAUUUUUUUUAAAAAUAGAAUGAAUAAUCUAACGAGAUGAAUUGGAUUUUAAAAACUUUUUUUGACAAAAUAAAAUCUAAAAAAAAAACACAUCAAAUAAUAAAAUCAAAACCAUUAAAUAAAUAUUUAACUGAAAAUAAAUGUAAUAAAAAUAAAUAGUAUAGGGUAAAAAUAUUUGCAAGAACCAUUUAUAAAGGUUCAAUCUUGUCUCUUGGUAUUUAUGUCACAAGUCUACUUUCUAAUCCAAAAGACAUGCAUAUUAAGUAAAGAUAGACAUUUAUUUAUAAAUCCAAGACUCAACUCAUCUCUUAUUAAUGUAAGAUCUAUCACAUUCUACCUCACCUAAUUGUUCAAUACGUUCGUUGCAUCGGCUCCUUUACUCAUAGAGGAGAGGGACCGUAUCUUGAUCUAAGUCUACCUCGAACCUGAUAUCUUUUAUAAAAGUUUCAUACUAGUUAAGAGUUAAGUUUGCUCUAAUACCACUAAUCACGAGUUCACAUUUCUAAUCCAAAAAAUAUACAUAUUAGAUAGAGAGAGGCCCUUAUUUGUAAAUCAAGACCCACCCAUAUGACACUUACAUUCUCUCUCUUAGUGUAGUAAAGAGUUCAAUACACUACUUAAUUCAACCAAUACAAAUACUAUUUUCUUGCGUAUCCAAAACAUGCAAAAAAUGCUCUACUUCCCUAUGUGAUACCUCAGAUGAAAUAAAUUAUUUCCUCAUCUUUAAAAGAAAAUACAAUAAUUGUAAAUUUUAUUUUUCUCCUAUUUUAUGUAACAGCCUCAACUUUGACUAAGGUUAUAAAUUACUUGUGUUGAACCAUUUGAUAACUUGCCAUGAGAUUUAAACAUAUGUAUUAAAUAUAUGAACAAAUGACAAUGUGUUUAAGGAUCUUGAAUGAUAAACUAUUAGGGUAAAAUACCCUUACCCCUCUAAGUUUUGAUUGAAAUUACAUGGAGGUCCAUUAGUUUUCAAAAUAGACACUCCGCCCCAAAAAAAUAUUUUUCACUGGACAUUUAGGUCCAGUUGUUAGUCAACCAUUAGUGUUUCCGUCAAUUUGAUGAUGUGAUAAGGGUAAAAACAUAAUUUCACCAUUGAUUAAUUUUUAAAAUUACUAUUAUAUAAUUUUAUUAAUUUUUUAAUUAAUUAAAAUAAAAAAGCUCCUCAAGGAGCAUUAAAGCUCCCUGGGAAGCACCAAUCGGGUGCUCCCCUCCCUUGAGGAGCACGAUGCUCUCUUUUUUAAAAUUUUUUUAAACAUAUAAUAUAAUUUUUAAAAUUUAUAUAAAAAAAAGAAAAGACAUUUUAGUCUUUUCCUAAUCUCUAUUAACGGUAUUUUCAUUUUUAGGACAAAGUGUCCAUUUCAAAAACUAAUAGACCUGCUUAAAAUUUGAACUAAAACUUAAAAGGUAGGGGUAUUUUACCCUAAAAUAUUAUGUUUUUGAUUAGAUUUUAGACCUUAAGCUAUGUGUUGAUAUGUUUUGACACUGAAUAUUGGUUAAUGUGGUGCAUACUAGUUGCAUUAAGAUGAAUAUUGAAAUAACAAAUCGUUUUGGAAGUCCAAAUUUGGAGUUAGGUAGUUUGAAGUGUUGAAAGUUUGCCUUUAGGAGAAAAUGUAUUGAUAAAUUCCUUGAUCUAUCAAUACAUUCAUGGCAGAAUGCCUUGGCAAAGCUUUCUAUCAAUACAUUCUAGAAUGUUUCGAUAGAUUUGGGCCAGGAGGCAUUCUAUAUGAAAACUCUCGAACAUUACAAGAACGUAUUGAUAGAUUUAAAAAGAUGGAUAUUUUGUAAAAAAGGUAUUUAUAGAUUUUCUUGAUCGAUCGAUACAUUUCAAGCAUAAAGCAUUCUUUUAAAUUUACUUCAAUAUGUUGGUACAUGUAUCGAUAGAUCUGAUGAAAAUUCGUGAAAAUGUAUCAAUGCAUGAUUGUAAGUCAGCAAAAAUAAAAGAGACUUUGGGCAUUCCACCCAUUUGAAAACACAAGGAAACAAAAGCUUUCCCUCCUUGCCUUUGAAACCCUAAAACCCCCUAGUAGAUUGGAACUAAUUUGGAGUACUUGGAAGCUUGGAAAUUCAUACUUAAGGUAAGAUCAAGCUUCCUAACAUUUUGAAUUACAUUUUAAUCGGUUCAAAAAUGAGAAUUUGACUAUGGUUUCAUCUCAAUUAUCUUCUCCUUGAGUUGUUGGGAUUUUGGAGUCUUAAGGGCUUAGAAUAGCUGCCAAGGUGAGGAAACCUAACUGUUUUGAACAUUGGAAACAAUGAAACCUAUGAUUUGGAUUGGUAGUUGGAUUUAGAAGCUCAGUUAGGCUUAGAAAAUCUGUGCAUGCUUUGAAAAAAGCUAAAGGUCUAGAAUUUAUGGAUUUGUUAGGUGAAGUGGGAACUUAGAGCUGUUGAUGAACUGAAAUUCUAUGUGGAAUGAUGGACGCAGUGUUUAGCUGAGUGUGAUGUCUUGGCUUCUUCUUGGAAGAAUGUUGCAGCACUAAAACUUUACUAUUUAGCAAUGUGAGUUACGUUAGAGAUAUUCUAGGUCAGUGGGGCAUUUUAUCUAGAAAUUAAGAUUUGAUGUAUGUAUGCACAAAUGUAUGCAUGUGCACUGCCAUGAAACAUGAUUGGUUGAUAAAAUGCUUAGAUGAACUAUGCAUAGGCCGAUGGGUUGAUUGAGCUCUAUUAUAGCUAUGUAUGUUAAUAAUAAAAACCUGUUUGAUAUUGGGUGAGCCAUGUGGUGGUGAUUGAGCUUGACUGUCUUAGUAUUCGCGACUAAAAAGUCUAUUGACCAUGCCUCUGCGCUUGUAUAAAACUUAUAACUUGAUACCUUUUUCUGUGGUAGCGUAUGAUUAUUGCUAAUUCUACGAAAUAAUGUUAUUAGUGAACUAUGGAAAAUCUGAAUUAUGAAAGUUGAUUGAGUUGCAUUCGUAAUUAUGCAUGUAUGAUGCCAAAUGGCUAUGUUAAUGACUUUUGCACAUGUAAUGGCGACACAAUUCCUAAUGGUAAUUGGUUUCGUCUUACGAGUGCUUUCUGGACGAUGAUAUGGUCUAGUUAGAAGGUGUCAUAGUCCCUGUGGUCUUGCUUACCAUUAGCAGUUUAGGCGUUGGACGUGUUUUGUUUACUUGGGAAGACCCUUCUCUUGUUACCAUCUUGAUGAUAACACAAUUUAAUUAGUUGACUUGACUGUCUUUUCAAUCCAAGACAAGUGAGCGAGAAAAACUGCACCAUUGCUCCAUGAAACCUUACAACUCUUAGACGUGAGUCUUGACCUCAUCGAUAGUUCCUAUCCUUGCUACACUCCUUGUGGAAAAAGCCUACCACUCGGCAGAAGAUAUGGUAUGCAUCUCCCUCAUCAUACAUGCACCUUAACAUAGGGUCAUGUAUCUCUUAAAUUGUAGGAUGAAGAUGAAGUCUUCGGUUUACAUUGAUGCUUUCUCAUUGCACCAAUCGAUGUUCCUCUCCACAUUAUUUCAUUCUUCAGUCAAAUUAUUCAUUGUUAACAACUAACGGAAAUGUAAGUGUGGAUUAUUCACGUGACAUGUUAAAUAAUUUUUACCAUGAUAUUUUAUUACUGUUAACAGUACAAUCUGAUAAAAAGAAUAAAAUGAAACCAUUUUAAAAUAUUAUGUGUAAAAUAUAUGAAAAAAGAUUAUAGAUUUAAUUUGAUUACAUUGCUGCCGGACUUACCAAAAUAAUUGUAGAAGCAUGUCUAAUGAUUAUAGGCAUAGCUCUUCAAAGAAAAAUACUGUUUUAUACUUAACAAAAAGAUAAAUGUAAAAUAUAAAAUUGAUCAAUUUUGUUUAGAAUUAUUAUUUUAUAUAUUUUGAAAUUUUGAAAUUUCAAAAUAUAUAAUAUUAUUUAAGUCGUAUUAUAUAUUAUAUAAUUGAAGGGUUAUAUUAAUCGCCUUACUGUGCAGAUAUACUUGGAUGAAUUAUAAAGAUUUCUUUUCUAUUAGUUUCGCUACGUAUCAAUUGGUUGGACACAUUUUAUAAUAAAUAUAAGAGACCAUCAUAGUGCUUCUUCACAAACUAGGACCUUAAUCUCCUUCUCUCCCGCUGAAAUUUUAGGAUGCCAAGAGCAAAACUUCCAUUAUUUUGCCUCUUGGCUUUUGCUUUAUCUCUAUUCCCCGACUGAGGCUCUUCUAUCUGUGGAAAUGUUACCAUCAAAAAGCCCUUUAAGUUAAAAAGCCAACCUCUCAGGUGUGGAAACCGUGAGCUAGUAGUCGAGUGUGACGAUAAUAACCACACCAUUUUCCCCAUGAAAUAUGGGAAAUUCCUUGUCCAAGACAUCUCUUAUAAUAACGGUACAAUUCAACUUUUAGACGAGAGUCUUGGCAAUGAUAACUGCUCCAUUCCUCAUAGGUCCUAUCCUUUGUACAUCCCUUUUGCGAAAAAACAACGUCUCUAUGAAGAUACCACUGAAUUUAGCAUCAUGUAUCUCGUAAAGUGCACGAUGCAGAUCAACUACUCUCGGGUUUAUAUCGAUGCUUUUCGUUGCACCAAUACUCCUUCCUCUCUACCUCCUUACUUGUAUUUUUUGGAUAAAAAAACAGCAAAGUCUGAUUUCCAUGAGUCAUGCAGAAUUGAAGCCCAGGUUCCAAUCAUGGUUGCCAGUAUCACUGGCCUCUCUACUUCUGAUAUUUACACAAAACUGUUGACGGGGUUCCGACUCUCAUGGUGGGAUUAUGCUUAUCAGUUUGGCUGGCUGCGGUGGGACUCAAUUGUUAACGUGUGAGGAUCUUUAAGUAUUCCAAAAUAUUUGGUGCUGUUUAGUUUUUGGAAAUGUUAACUAUUUUUAUUAUAAAUAAACAAAUAAGAUAAAAAUUUUAGUCUUUAUUUCUUUUUAAAAAGUUGACAACAUUUUUAAAUUACUAUUUUAACUAUGUAUAUUAAUUUGUUAUCUAAAAUUUAAACUCGAUAUUUUUAAAGAAUUACAGACUUUAAUUCUAUUAAUGUAGUGUCUACUUCAGACUUCAAUUAUUUCCUUUAAAUAUGUUUAGUGUAAAAUUUAAAGAUAAGGAUUUAAAGCAUUUUUAACAGUAAAAGUGUGCAUUCCAUUUAACUUAUUAAGGAUUAGCGGUUUUGAUGUUCUUUCUUGAAUAUUAAUUAUAGAUUGCUAUGGGUUUUAAAAAAAAAAGGAAGUAUAGAUUGCUAUCCUUGGUCAACCUUUUGCUGGCUCCGCUGUUUAUAUUUAUUGAAAGCAACGCGGCUCUUCUGCUAGGCAUCCCAACAGAGGAUUCAUUGGUAGAUAACAAAGGUGUUCUUUCUUUUCUGAGUUUGUUACUAUUUUGAUUAUUAUUGGAUUUACCUUUACUUUCCUAGGAUCUAUUAACACUUAGUUCUCGAAUCGGUAAAAUCUUAGCAUGAAUCCAGAUUUAUAUUUAUAUAUCAUUAAUUUAACAAUUGUAUUUCGUAAUCUAUUUACUUAUAUCAUGCAUGAUAAAUUUUAAGUUAAUUGAAAAUAUUUAAUUAUUUAAAUGAGAACAUUAAAAUUUUGACCAUUAAAUAUAUAUUAAAAAACCAAUAUUCUUGAGCAAUACGAUAUGGAUUAUCACAUUGAUUUGAAAUUUUAAAUGUAUGAUGAGUACGAAUAGUGUAUGAAAUUAUAAAAAGGUGUAAAACUUAAUUAAUUUUUAACUUGAGCCCUCAAAUUUAUAUAGUUUGUAUGAGUAUUGCAUAUAAAGUAUAUGUAUGUACAAAGAGAUUCCAAUAAAGGAUAAAAUUAUUUAAUAAGAGACGAUAUACUAUAAAUAAUUCAUGAAUAAUAUUGAACUACAUUAAUUGGGUUUUUUUCAGUUAGGUAUUUCUAUGUUGUUACGAUUUUUUUGGUCAAAAUAAAAAUUUUGUCCAAGUUUAUCAUAUUACUUGAAUGAGUACAAUUUUGUCAAUAUACUUUUAAAUUUGUUAAAAGAGAUCAAAAGUUACAAAAUGAACUAAAAUGUACAAUGAUAAAUAUUACACUCGUUAAAAAAAUAAAUAGUAAAUUUGAUCCAUCACCUUAAGUCUAGUGGUGAUAAAUUUAAACCUUAUCUCAAAUUAUUUUAUGAAGUUUGUUUGUGAAAUAUGGCAACAUAUACACAAAUUAAGUUAGUAACUAGCAUGUACAUAUUCUAUAAUCUUGUUGUCCAACUAAUUGGUUUAUAUAUAUGUUUUGUACUCUCUUUUUUUUUUUAUGAGAAACAGGAAUUAUAUUGUUAAGAACUUUUUUGGAGAUAACUUGCUUGAUUGUAUUUGUUAUACACAAAUUAAAAAUGUGGCAUUUGUCUAUGGAUGACAAGAUUGAGAAUUUUCUUCAGAGUCAAAACAAUUUAAUGCCUAUAAGAGACUCUUAUUCUGAAAUAAAAAGAAUAACAGAUGGCUUCAACAAUAAAUUAGGUCAAGGAGGAUAUGGCUCUAUAUUUAAAGGAAAACUUCGAAGUGAUCAACUUGUUGCAAUAAAAUUGUUAAACAAAUCAAAAGCUAACACCCAAGAUUUCACCAAUGAAGUUGCAACUAUUGGAAGGAUUCAUCAUGUUAAUGUGGUAAGACUUAUUGGAUUUUACGUGAAGGGAUCAAAACAAGCUCUUGUAUAUGACUUCAUGAAGAAUGGGUCCUUGGAUAAAAUUAUAUUUUCAACUGAAAAUAACACUUUGAGUUGAGAAAAAAUGUUUGAGAUUGCAUUGGGAGUGGCUCAAGGUAAUGACUAUUUACAUAAAGGCUGUGAAAUGCAAAUUUUUCACUUUGAUAUCAAGCCACAUAACAUUCUUCUAGAUGAGAAUUUUACUCCAAAAGUUUCAGAUUUUGGCCUCGCAAAUUUGUAUUCAGUGGAUGAUGAUAUUAUUUCUCUCACAGCAGCACGAGGUACGCUAGGAUAUAUGGCUUCUGAAUUGUUUUACAAAAAUAUCAGAGGUAUAUCAUAUAAAGCUGAUGUUUAUAGUUUUGGAAUGAUGAUAAUGGAAAUUAUCGGAAGGAGAAAAAAUUUGAAUGCCUCUGCUGAACAUUCAAGUCAAAUUUAUUUUUCAUCAUAGAUUUUUGAUCAAUUAGAUGAAGGAGAUACCAUGGAGCUUGGAGAUGUGACAGAAAUUGAAAACAAAAUUAUGAGGAAAAUGGUAAUAGUAACCUUAUGGUGCAUACAGAUGAAGCCCACAGAUCGUCCUUCAAUGAGCAAAGUCUUGAAGAUGCUUGAAAGUGAAGUUGAGCUCCUUGAAAUGCCUCCCAAGCCUUCUUUCUCCGGAAAUAUCAACUAAAGAUAGUAAAAAUUCUCCCUGCACACGUGGCAAUCGGCCUUCCUCAGCUACCUCGUGAUUUUCGUCGUUGGGACACCACUCAACAUCGUGAUCUUGCUAAAUCUGAUGCCCUUAAGUCGAUUACUUUUUCUGUAUUUAGUUUUUUGAGUGGUACGUAGUUUUUGUUUCCACCGAGAUCUAGCAGGCAGUGUUUGUAUUCUCUUUACCACCUUGGUUUGUUUUGUUUCUGCUACUUCUCUAUUUCCCUGUAUGCGACCUUUGAUGAAAUAAAUCAUUUCCUCACUUAUAAAAAAAUUGCAAGAAAAUGUAAAUUUUUUCCCUUAUUUUAUAAAAAGAAAAUGUGUUAUAUCUUAUAUUAUAUUUUUAUGUACCUAUGUAUCUAUAGUAUUAGUUGUUUAAACUUUUUGGGUGUAAUUCAUUUUCAUAGAUAAUUAACAGCUUUUAUAAAAGUGCAGUCUUUGUCACUAUAUAUGCAUGUAAAUCUCUCUUUAACUGCAAUUGUUUUGCCCAAAAUACUUCUUAUAAAAGAUUGUACAGAGCAGCCAAAUUUGUAAAGUUCUAUCCUAAGUAAAAUAUUUUUAAUGACACAAAUUAAAAAAAUUAAAUGUCAAAUUUAUUGUGGUGUGUUUUUCCCCCUUUGACUCUAGACUCUAGCUUAUUAAAUUUUCAAAGGAAGAUUUGCUUUCAUUUGCAGCCAGAGAAUGAUUAGCAGAGCAACCAAGAUAAAAUUAUCUUAGUUCUUAUUUAAUCUUACUUUUUAAACUUUUUUAUACAUAUAAAAAAAUGCAAAAUAUGGACUGAUUAGUCCUUUUAGACUUGAUUGGUCGAAGGUGAAAUUUUAAGACUAAACGGUGAAUUUACAAGAUUGCUCGAAUGAUUUUAUUCCUAUUUGAGUGGAAAAUCAGCUAAGAGCUAUGAUUGGCUUGUGGUAAGGUGGUUGGCUUUAAUUAGUUGACUUGACUGACUUUUCGAACGAAGACAAGUGAGCAAGAAUAACCACACAUUUUCCCCAUGACAUAUAUAUGAGAAUUUCUAUGUGGAAAAAGCCAUAUAAAUCUUGGAGGUGAGUCCUGACAAAAAUAACUGCUCUAUUCCUCAUAGUUCCUAUCCUUGCUACACCCCUUGUAGAAAAAGCUUACCAUGCCACUCGGUAGGAGAUAGGGCAUACAUCUCCCUCAUCAUAUGUAUGCAUGCACGUCAAUAUAGGGUCAUGUGUAUCUCUUAAAUUGCAGGAUGAAGAUGAAUUCUUCGGUUUACAUUGAUGCUUUCCAUUGCACCAAUCGAUGUUCCUCUCCACGUUAUUUUGUUUCUUCAGUCAAAUUAUUCUCUGGUUAACAACUAAUGAAAAUGUAAGGAUAGAAUAUUCACGUAAUAUGUUACAUAAUUUAUACUAUAAUAUUUUAUCAUUGUUAACGGCACAAUUUGAUAAAAAGAUAAAAAAGAAAUCAUUUUAUUAUAUUAUGUGUAAAAUACAUGAAAAGAAAAGAUUACAAAUUUUAUUUGAUUACAUUACUGCAGAACUUACAAAAAUAAUUAUAGAAGCAUGGCUAAUGAUUAUAGGUAUUAUUUGGAUAGAUAUUUUUCUCAUUUUUCUUGUUUGACUGGUUGUAACUUGUCUUCAAAUUUUGAUAUCCACCAAAAAACUAUCCAAGAGCUUGAUUGUUUUAGAUAGUCAUUCAACAGCUUGACUGACUUUAUAUUUGUCUGUGCAACAAAUUUGAAAAUUUUUUUUAAAAAAGUCAAUAUUGAAUUUUAGACAUGCAUAAAUAGCAUAAUUUUUUAUUAUGCAGUGAAAAUAUAUGUAUAAAGUAUGAGGAAAGAUCUACUUAUACCGGUAUAAAAUUAAAUUAGUUUUACACUUUUUCAUGUCUUUUUAUUUCAUUUAUAUUUUGUUAAUCUAACCGUUCAUUUUAUGUUUUAUUCAUAUAAAUAUUCAUAGAUAGCAAAUUUCAAGUUAAUUGGAAAUGACUAACUACAUAUUUGAGAAAAAUAAAAUUUCAAUCAUUAAAUAUAUAUUGAAAAAAGGCAUUAUUCUCGGUUGAUGUAAUAAGAAUGUUGAAUUAAUAUGAGACUUUACGUGUAUGAUAAAUGCGAAUAAGUUGUUAAAUGUAAUGAUUCUAUUUGUUAAAAUAUUAAUUCCCUAAGAAGUUAUAGAAAAAUGUAAAGUACUUAGUUUUAGAGAUACAAGGCGAUUCCUCUUGGCCGGUAUAAAGUAUUGCUAUUUAGGCUUUUGUGUGCAAUUUUUUUUCAUAGCUAAUUGUUGUUGAAAGUGUGCAAUCUUUACUACUGUAUGCAUGUAAUAUUUUUGUCCAAAAUAUUAGCAAAAAAAAUGUUUUGAACUGUGAACUCCGUAAAAGUUCUAUACAAAAGGAUUUUAAACAACAAUAGUUAAAGAAAAAAAAUAAAUAAAUGAAAAUUUAAUUAUUAUAGUGUGUUUUUUCCACUUGUUCAAAGUAAGAUUUGAUUUCAAUUGCAGCCCUAGAUAUAAUCAGCAAAGCAAUGAAGCUAACAUUAUCCAAAGAUUUAAUGUUUCUCGUUAAACUUUUUUAUAUAUAAUUCUCCAAAGAAAAAUACAGUUUUAUACUUAAAAAAUAAAUGUAAAAUAUGAAAUUGAUCAAAUUUUUUCAGAAUUAUUAUUUUAUAUAUCUUGAAAUUUUGAAAUUCCAAAAUUUAUAAUAUUGUUUAAGUCAUAUUAUAUAUAUUAUUGAGGGUUUAUAGUAAUAUCCCUACUGUGUAGAUUUACUUGGAUGAAUUGCAAAGAUUUCUUUUCCAUCAGUGCCGCUACGUACCAAUUUGUUAGGUACACGGAUUUUCUUCUUUCUUGUUUGUUUGCGUGGAAAAUCAUCAAAAAGCUCUAUGACAGGCUUGUCGUUAAAGGUGUUUUGCGGGUUGGGUUUAAUUAGUUGACUGACUUUUCAAAAGAAGACUUGGUUUUAACAAUAAAUGUAAGAACUGCUUCACUUGCCUCUAUCAAAACGAGGACCUUAAUCUCCCACUGAAACUUUAGGAUGCUUAGCGUCAUACUUCCAUUACUUUGCCUCUUGGUUUGGCUUCAGUGCAAAUCUCCAAUCCAGUCGUUACAAAAAAAGACAAGUACUGUGGCUUUUCUUUCUGUGGAAACAUUAACAUCACUUACCCUUUUCGAUUAAAAAACCAGCCUCGUAGUUGUGGUUACAAUAGGUUUGAACUAGUGUGCCAGAAUAACCGCACCAUUUUCCCCAGGAAAUAUGGGAAUUUCUAUGUCCAACACAUCUCUUAUAGUGACGAAACCAGCCGACUUUUAGACGAGAGUCUUGGCAACGACAACUGCUCUAUUCCUCAUAGUACCUAUCCUCGGUCCACCCCUUCUGCAAAAAAACUAUAUCCCUGGCGUACCUUUUCAUGGGAAGAAAGAAAUUUCUAUCAAACUACCCCUGAAUUUAGCGUCAUGUAUCUCAUAAAUUGCACGAUGCAGAUCAACUACUCUUCCGUUUAUAUCGAUGCUUUUCGUUGCACCAAUACCCCUUCCUCCUCUCAACCUCCGUACUUUUACUUUUUGGAUGAAAAUACAGCACCGUCUGAUUUCCAUGAGUCAUGCACUGUUGAAGCCCAAGUUCCAAUCAUGGUUGCCAGUAUCAUCGGCCUCUCUACUUUUGAUAUUUACACAAAGCUGUUAACGGGAUUCCAACUCUCAUGGUUCACUUCCUCUUAUGAUUAUGUUUGGCUGCGGUGGGACUCAAUUGUUAACGUGUGAGGAUUUUUAAGUAUUCCGCAAUAUUUGGUGUUGUUUCGUUUUUGAAAAAUAUUUAUUAUUAUUAAUUUUUUUUGGAUCGUAAUAUUUAUUAUUUUUAGCAUACAUAAAUAUGAUAAAAAAACAAAUAUCAAAAUAUUUAGUUUUGAAUUCUUUUAAACUACUUUUUUAAUUAUGUGUAUAAAUUUGUAUCUAAAAUUUAAACUCGAUAUUUUAAUGUAAAAUUUAAAGAGAAGGAAUUAAGACAUUUUCAACACUAAAAGUGCGCAUAUCAUUUGCCUUAUUAAGGAUUAAUGGUUUUGAUGUGCUUUUUUGAAUAUUAAUUAUAGAUUGCUAUUCUUGCUCAAGCUGUGGUCGGUUCUGCCGAAGAUACUUGUACAAGGCAACAUAGCUUUUUUUGAACCAGAUUCUAUCGAUGGAUUUAGUAAAUGUAUUCUUUCGGUUCUGAGUUCAUUAAUAUUUUGAUUAUUAUUGGAUUUGCCUUUACUUUGAUAGAAUCUAUUUUCAUUUAUUUUCUGAUUUGGUAAUAUCUUUGCAGGAAUCCAGAUUCUUUGUGUUGCAAUAACAGGUACUAAAUUCUAUACUUAUUUAUUUACUCUUAAAUUCUACAAUUAUUAUAAUGUAUGACAUCAAUAAAUAUAUUAUUAUAUAAAUGGAUUAAAAAAUUAUUAAAUUAUUUAAAAAAUUCCUAAACUAUUUUACAACAAUUCCAAUAAGCUUUUCUUAAUUUUUAUUGCAUUCAAUCAAGCUAUUAUAUUUUUAUUUUGAACCAAAUAAACCCUUCUAAGUAACAGUUAACUAAUGUUAUUAGUUCAAAUGUCACUUGUUAUUUCAUACUCAUGUGACAUUGAUAUGAUGCUGACAUGGAGGAUGAAAAUGCCACAUAACCAUGUCAUAAUGCCAUAUACUCUGAUAUGUCAACAUAAUAUAUCCAUGUCAUAUGAUAUAAAAUAACAAAUGGUAUUUUGAUUAAUAACAGUUAGUUAACCAUUAGUUAUAAUGACUUAUUUGGUUCAAAAUAAAUGUUUAAGAGCUUGAUCAUACACAAUAAAAGAAUGAGAGUUUAUUUGAAUUUUUCUAAAUAGCUCAAGAAAUUUUUAAGUAUUAUGCAUUUUUGUGUGUGCGUGUGUGUAUAUGUACCAGUGUGAAAUUAAUUAAAUUUACACCUUUUCAUAUUUUUUAUAAGAUUUAUAUUUUGUUAAUUUAACCGGUGUAUUCCAUAUAUACUCAAUUUACAUAGAUCAUGCAUAAAAAAUUUUAAAUCAAUUGAAAAUAUCUAAUUAUUUGUAUAAUAAUAAUAAAAUUUUAACCAUUAAAUAUAUAUUUAAAAAACAAUAUUCUCUACCAAUGUGAUAUGGAUAUUGCACUGACUUGAAACUUUUUAUGUACGAUUGGAUGCAAAUAAAGUUAGCUUGCUAAAACUUAAUUGUAUAUGAAAUUAUAAAAUGGUGUAUAUAUAUAUAUAUAUAUGAGUAUUGCAUAUAUGUAUAUGUAUGUAUAAAGAGAUUCAAUAAAGGAUAAAAUAAUUAAAUAAGAGAAGAUCUACUAUAAAUUAUUCAUAAAUAAUAUUGAACUACAUUAAUUAGGUUUUUUUAGUAAGGUAUUUUUAUUUUGUUACGAUGUUUUUUGGUCAAAAUAAAAAUUAUGUCCAAAUUUAACAUUUUACUUUGGUGAUAGACCAAAUUAUGAUCAUAUUUAAAUGAGAAUAAUUGGCACUAUACUUUUAAAUUGGUUAAAAAUGAUCAAAAGUUAUGAAAUAAACUCAAAAGUACAAUAAUGAAAGUUACACUCAUUCAAAAAUGAAUAGUAAAUUUAAUCCAUCAUUUUUUUUAAAAGGUGAAUUUUUAUUAACCUCAACACUAUCAUGCCAUUUUGAUUCUCAAGCUUAGAUUGCAAGAGACUCUCAUGACAUAAAUAGUUAGUAAGCAGCCUGUACAAUUUCCAAAAAGAAUAUGCUACUCAAUAAGAUUUUGGUAGCAACUCAGGAUAAAGAAACUAACGUACCUUAAGCAGAUUGGUGGUAAAUUUGAACCUUAUCUCAAAUUAUUCUAUGAAGUUUGUUUGUGAAAAUAUGGCAGCUAGCACAUGCCCAAAUUAAAGUUGUAAAUAACAUAUACAUGUUCUAUAAUCAUGUUUUCCAACUAAUUGAUUUACAUAUUGUUUUGUAUUUUUUUUUUUUUGAGAAACAGGAAUUCUUUUGCUAAGAACUUUUUUGGGAAUAAUUUGCUUGAUUGUGCUGGUUAGACGAAAAUUAAAAAGGAGGCAUUUGUCGAUGGAUGACGUGAUUGAGAAUUUUCUUCAGAGUCAAAACAAUUUAAUGCCUAUAAGAUAUUCUUACUCUGAAAUAAAAAGAAUGACUGAUGGUUUCAAGAAUAAACUUGGUCAAUGAGGAUAUGGCUCUGUGUUUAAAGGAAAACUUUGACGUGGUCAACUUGUUGCGAUAAAAUUGUUAAACAAGUCAAAAGCUAACGGCCAAGAUUUCAUCAAUGAAGUUGCAACUAUUGGAAGGAUUCAUCAUGUUAAUGUGGUAAGACUUAUUGGAUUUUGCGUGAAGGGAUCAAAACAAGCUCUUGUAUAUGACUUCAUGAAGAAUGGGUCCUUGGAUAAAAUUAUAUUUUCAACUGAAAAUAACACUUUGAGUUGGCAAAAAAUGUUUGAGAUUGAAUUGGGAGUGGCUCGAGGUAUUGAAUAUUUGCAUAGAGGUUGUGAAAUGCAAAUUUUACAUUUUGAUAUCAAGCCACAUAACAUUCUUCUAGAUGAGAACUUUACUCCAAAAGUUUCAGAUUUUGGCCUCGCAAAGUUGUAUUCAGUGGAUGAUGAUAUUAUUUCUCUCACAGCAGCACGAGGUACAGUAGGAUAUAUGGCUCCUGAAUUGUUUUAUAAAAAUCUCGGAGGUAUCUUAUAUAAAGCCGAUGUUUAUAGUUUUGGAAUGAUGCUAAUGGACAUUAUUGGAAAAAGAAAAAAUUUGAAUGCCUCUGCUGAACAUUCAAGUCAAAUUUAUUUUCCAUCAUGGAUUUAUGAUUGAUUAGACGAAGGAGAUAUCAUGGAGCUUGGAGAUUUGAUAGAAAAUGAAAACAAAAUUAUGAGGAAAAUGGUAAUAGUAGCCUUAUGGUGCAUACAGAUGAAGCCUAUAUGGAUCGUCCUUCAAUGAGCAAAGUCUUGAAUAUGCUUGAAAGUGAAGUUGAGCUCCUUGAAAUGCCUCCAAAGCCUUCUUUCUUUGGAAAUGUCAACUAAAGAUAGUAAGAAUUCUCCCCGCACAUGUGGCAAUCGGCCUUCCUCAACUAUCUCGUGAUAUUCGUCAUUGGGACACCACUCAACAUCAUGAUCUUGCUAAAACUGACAACUUCUUCUGUAUUUAGUUUUUUGAGUGGUACGUAGUUUUUGUUUCCACCUAGAUCUAGUAGGCAGUGUUUGUAAUUUCUCUACUACCUUGGUUUGUUUUGUUUCUGCUACUUCUUUAUUUCCCUAUAUGUGACCUCUGAUGGAAUAAAUCAUUUCCUCACUUGUAAAAAAAUUGUAAGAAAAUGCAAUUUUAUGUUUCCCUUAUUUUAUACUGUCACGGCCCAAACCCGAGGCACGACAGACGCCACAUACCUAUAAGAUGUAAUCUUACAAACAUGCAAGGCUCCAAUACAUAUACCUUAUAACACUAAUUGAAAGAGACUAAAAUACCUGAAGAACAUAGUGAUUCAUAAUCGGUAGAAAUUCAAAAGAUCAUAAUUCGACAAUUUUUAGAAUUAAGUCUCUAAAACUAUAAAGCUAACAUGUCAAGAUAAAACUCUGAAUACUAAUUUAAGAUAGUUUGAUGUUCAUAAUAUUUAAAUAAAUCCUAGACAACCUAAAUGCUACUAGAUUAAAACAUCACUCCUCGAAAUUCUCACGUAGUUGACCAAAUCACAAUCUGAAAAAAAAAUUAAAGGAAGGAGUGAGUCCAACUACUCAGCAAGUAACUAACAUCUCACUUCAUACUACAAAAGGCCUUAAAGAAAUUAUCAAAAAUGUUAUCGGAAUAUGGAGUUCCGAUGACCCAAAUUUAGGUUGUGAAAAUAGUUGAAAACCAGGUUUCCAAUUAAUUUUAAAAAUUCAUAUUUUCCAAACCACAAAACCAAACGAGAUGCUACAAAAACCAUUGAAAAGAUCUUUUCAAGACCUUUCCAUUGGUACCCAUCAUGCCAUCGAAAAGUCACCAGAAUAGUACCGGAUUUGAAUAAAAGUUAAGAAAACAUAAAUAAUUUAGGGUUUUUGUGCCCAACUAUGAAAAUACAACCCUAAACAUACCUUAAUCAACACUCUCUUGAAUACUUUUCUCUUUUUUCUAUGUUGCUUCUUCCAUGGUAUUAAGCUUUCUUGACUGCCUAUCGUUUGAGUCUGAUGAAAUAAACUGACAUGAGUUUUCUGCCUUUUCUUUUAAACUUGUAAACUAACCUAACCUCCACUAUCUUUUUUUUUUAAAAUGUGAUUUAGUGAGUUGUGGUCAGGUAAAACAAACUGACCUUAACCCCACUAACUUAAACAUGAUAAAUAAAACCAACAUUAAUUAAACUUCCUUAUUUACUUAAAGACCUUUUUUCUAUUUUUUUAAUUAUUAAGGCACUCAAGGUUAUAAUUGCAAUUAAAUAAAAUACUAAAACAACAUUUACUUAUUUAUUUUUAUAAAACUAUAGCUUAAUAAAUCUAAAUAUUUUUAUAAUAUAUACUUUGUGAUGGGUAUCACAUCCUCCCCUCCUUAAAAAGGAGUUUAGUUCCUUAAACUCUUACCUUGGUCCUAAAAAGGUGGGGAUACUUCUUUUCGAUAUUUUCUUAUAAAUCCCAAGUCGUUUCUCGUUCUGUAUGGUUACUCCGUUUGACCUUAACAUAAAGAAUAGUUCACCUUCUUAGAACUUGCUCUUUUCUAUCCACAAUACGUAUAGGAUGCUCAUCAUAGGACAAAUCUUCUCUAAGUCUCAAAGGAGCUACUUCCACCACAUGACUAAGAUCUGGAACAUAUUUUCUCAACAAAGAAACAUGAAACAUGUUAUGCACUCCCGAUAGAGUAGGUGGAAGUGCCAACCUAUAAGCCACAUCACCAACCUUAUCCAAAAUCUCAAAUCAACCCACAUAACGAGGACUAAGUUUUCCUCGAAUCCCAAAUCGCAAUACUCCUCUAGUAAGUAAAACUAGCAAAAAGACAUGAUCUCUAACCUUAAAUUUUAUCUUCCUUCUUUUAUUGUUUGUAUAACUCUUCUGUCUACUUUGAGUCGUACGAUGAUGUUCUCUAACUAACUGAACCUUCUCAACUGCUUGUUGAAUAAGAUCUAGACCUAAUAACUGUCUUUCACCCACAUCAUCCCAACAAAGAGGUGACCUGUACUUCUUACCAUACAAAGCUUCGAAUGAAGCCAUUUGGAUACUAGGCCGAUAGCUAUUAUUAUAAGCAAAUUUCGUCCAUGACAAGUGUCGAUCCCAAGAACCUCCAAAAUCCAUGACACAAGCUCUCAACAUGUCCUUAAGAAUUUAAUUAAUUGUCUCGGACUGACCAUCUGUUUGGAGAUGAAAAGUAGUACUAAAAUUAAGUCUAGUUCCCAAAGAUUUAUGCAGACUCUCCCAAAAUUUCACCACAAAUCGAGAAUCUCAAUCAUAUACAAUAAACACUAGCACCCCAUGCAGUCUCACAAUCUGCUCCACAUAUAACUCCGCUAACUUUUCCAAUGAUAUUUUCGUACGAAUAGCCAAAAAGUGAGCAGACUUUGUUAAUCUAUCAACAAUCACCUAGAUGCCAUCAUUACCUUUUAGUGUUCUCGACAAACCUGAUAUAAAGUCCAUAGUAAUUCAUUCCCAUUUCCAUUCUGGAAUAGGAAAGGGUUGCAAUAACCCUACUGGCCUCUGAUGUUCAACCUUAACUUGUUGACAUGUCAGACAUUUGGCUAAAAACUAUGCAAUCUCUCUCUUCAUAUUGUUCUACCAAAAAGUGUUCUUCAAAUCUCUAUACAUCUUGGUACCACCAAAAUGGAUUGUACAAUUACUAUAAUGAGCUUCCAACAAAAUUUCUCUCUUCAAUUCUGCAUCAUUGGGAAUACAAAUUCUAUUACCAAACCUCAAAGAGUCAUCAUCAUGAAUCCUAAAGUCUGGUUUCAAACCAGAUUCAACCCCAAGUUUAAUGUGCUAAAGUCGAAGAUCAUCUACUUGGGCUAUCUUAAUCCAGUGAAUUAAAGUUGGUUGUACUUGUAUGUUAGCCAAUAAUGCUCCAAAACCCUGUAUACAUACACCAAUAUUCAUCCUCCGUAAGUCCUCUAAAAUCUGUUUUUGGGAAGUAAUCAUUACGACCAUGUUCCCAGACGUCUUUCUACUUAGAGCAUCAGCAACUCUAUUUGCCUUACCUGGGUGAUAAUUGAUGGUCAAGUCAUAAUCCUUUGAUAAUUCUAGCCAUCUUCUUUGUCGCAUAUUCAACUUCUUCUGCGUGAAAAGAUAUUUCAAACUUUUAUGAUCUGUAAAGACCUCACAAGACUCUCCAUAUAAAUAGUGUCUUCAAAUUUUUAAUGCGAAAACCACUGUUGCCAAAUCUAAAUCAAGAGUAGGAUAAUUCUCUUCAUAAGGUUUCAACUGUCUAGAAGCCUAAGCGAUCACCUUAUCAUCCUGCAUAAGAACACACCCAAGUCUCUUUUUGGAAUCAUCACUAUAAACAACAAAUCCCUUACCACUAGUAGGCAUGGUAUGUAUGGGAGCGAAUACUAAUUUUUUCUUUAACUCCUUAAAGCUCUUUUCACAAUCGUUUGUCCACUCAAAAUGAAUCUCUUUCCAUACCAAUCUGGUUAAAAGUAAGGCAAUACGAGAAAAUCCUCCACAAAUCGCCUAUAGUAUCCUACUAAACCCAGAAAACUACGAAUCUCAUCAACAUUAUGUGGUCUCUUUCAAUUCACCACUGCUUCAACUUUCUUUGAAUCCAUCGAAAUCCCAUCUUUCGACACCACAUGCCCAAGGAAAGCAACACUAGAAAGCCAAAAUUCACAUUUCUUCAAUUUAGCAAAUAACUGUUUCUGCCUCAAAGUCUUCAAAACAACCCUUAGAUGCUCUUUAUGAUCUGCUGAGUUAGAGGAAUACACUAGAAUAUCAUCAAUAAAAACAACCACAAACUUAUCCAAAUAAGGUUUAUAAACCCUAUUCAUCAAGUCCAAAAAAGUAGCCGGAGCAUUUGUCAACUCAAAAGGCAUAUCAAGGAACUCAUAAUGCCCAUAUCGGGUACAAAAAGCAGUUUUGGGAACAUCCUCAAUUCUCACCUUCAAUUGGUGAUAACCAGAUUGAAGAUUAAUUUUGGAAAACACUUGAGCGCCCUUUAGUUGAUCAAAUAAAUCAUCUAUUCGAGGCAAAGGAUACCUAUUCUUCAUGGUUGCCUUAUUUAACUCCCGAUAAUCAAUGCACAACCUCACACUCCCAUCCUUUUUCUUCACAAAUAACAAUGGCGCUCCCCAAGUAGAUACACUAGGUCUAAUAAAGCCCUUAUCAAGAAGUUUUUGCAACUGCUCUUUCAACUCUUUUAAUUCUAUAAGAGCCAUUCUAUAAGGAGCUUUAGAAAUCGAGCCAGUUCUUGGAACCAAAUCAAUAGAGAAAUCAAUUUCCCUAUUAGGAGAUAAACUAGGUAGAUUUUUAAGAAAAACAUUAGGAAAUUCCCCCAUAAUAAGAAUCUCUUUAAUCAUUAACUUCUUCAUUCUAUUGUCUAUACUAGCUGCCAAAAAUCCUUUGCAACCACUAGUAAGCAAUCACCUAGCUUUCAAAGCAAAGAUGACUCAUAAAAAAGUGUAAGGACCACUACCACGAAAACAAACAGGUGUUUCUCCAGGAAUCUCAAAGUCUACCCUUUUCCCUCGAUAGUCAACUUUAACAAAAUUUACAACCAACCAAUCCAUCCCUAGAAUUACAUCAAAAUCUUACAUAUCUAAAACAUGAAGAUAUGCAAGCAAUUCUCUAUCUUCAAUCCAUACCACACACAUCUUACAAAUCUGAUAUGAGAUAAUAUCAUCUCUAACUGGAGUGUCUACGCAUAGUUCAUAAUCCAGAAGCAUACAAGGCAAAGCAAACUUUUGAACAAAUGUAGCAAAUACAAAAGAACGAGAUGCAUCGGUAUCAAACAAUACAUAAGCAAAAGCUGAGGCAACUAGCAAUGAACUUGAGACAACGGUGUUGGAUGCCUCUACAUCAGACUGAGUGAUAGCAUAAGCACGGCCCUAGGUGCAAGGUCUUCCCACUUUUUGAUGUUCAGAAAAAGGUGUUUGCGUAGUCUAAACAACAUGAGUGGGUUGAGUCCUUUGCGUUGUAGUUUCAAAGGUUCAAGAGUUUUGUGGCCUUUACACAGAUUAAGAUUCUUGAAGGACUAAAGGACAAUCAGCAAUACAAUGGCCCUGUUGUCCACCUCUAAAACAAGCACCAGUUACAUGCCUACAUUUAGCAGCUCGAUGUUCUCCACCACACACUGAACACCUAGGCUUUUGUGCGCAAACUAUGAAAAUACAACCCUAAAUAUACCUUAAUCAGCAAUCCCUUGAAUACUUUUUCUUUUUUUCUGUCUUUCUUCUUCCUUGGUGUUAAUCUCUUCUUACUACCUAUCGUUUGAGCCCGCUGAAAUAAACUGACAUGAGUUUUCUGCUUUUUCUUUUAAAAUUGUAAACUAACCUAACUUCCACUAUCUUUUUUUUUUAAACAUGAUUUAGUGAGUUAUUGUUAGGUAAGAUAAACUGACCUUAACCCCACUAACUUAAACGUGAUAAAUAAAACUGACAUUAAUUAAACUUUUUUAUUUACUUAAAGAUCCCUUCUUCUAUUUUUUAAUUAUUAAGGCACCAAAAGUUAUAACUGCAAUUAAAUAAAAUACUAAAAGAACAUCUACUUAUUUGUUUUUAUAAAACUAUAGCUUAAUAAAUCUAAAUGUUUUUAUAGUAUAUACCUUGUGAAGGGUAUUACAUAUACAAAGAAAAUAUGUGAUAUCUUAUAUUUAUAUUUUUAUGUAUGUACGUAUCUAUAGUAUUAGUUGUUUAAACCUUUUGGGUGCAAUUCAUUUUCAUAUAUAAUUAACAGCUUUUAUAAAACUGCAGUGUUUGUGACCAUAUAUGCAUGUAAAUCUCUCUUUAACUGCAAUUGUUUUUUGUCCAAAAUACUUCUAAAAAAAGAUUGUAUAGAGCAGCCAAAUUUGAAAUAAAAUAUUUUUAAUAACACAAGUUAAAAAAAUUAAAUGCCUUAGUUCUUAGUCAAUCUUUCUUUUUAAACUUUUUAUACAUAUAAAAAAAAUCUAAAAUAUGGACUGAUUAGUCCUUUUAGACUUAAUAGAUCGACGGUGAAAUUUUAAGACUACACAAUAAAUUUAUAGGAGUACUCGAAUGAUUUUAUUUAUAUCUUAUUGGAGGCUUAUAUUAAUCUCUCAACUCAGACAAAUUACGAAGUAAGAUUCUUUUUAUGUCAGUUUCGUUACCAAUCAGUUGCAUACUAUAUUUCUUCACUUAUUUCUGUUUUAGUAGAAAAUCAGCUGAGAGCUAUGAUUGGCUUUGUGUUAAAGUGGUUGGCUUUAGUUAGUUGACUUGACUGACUUUUCGAACGAAGACAAGUGAGCAGGAAUAACCGCACCAUUUUCCCCAUGAAGUAAGAGAAUUUCUGUAAAAGUUAUAUGCAAAUGGAUUUUUAAAAACACAAGUUGAUGAAAAAAUUAAUAAAUGCAAAUUUAAUUAUUAUAUUGUGUUUUUUCCACUUGUUCAAAGGAAGAUUUGAUUUCAAUUGCAGCCACAGAAAUAAUUAGCAAAGCAAUAAAGAUAACAUUAUCCUAACUCUUUUUUAAUCUUCCUCGUUAAACUGUUUUAUACAUAAUAUUUAAAAAAAAAUGACUUUUUUAUACUUACAAAAAAUAAAUAUAAGAUAUGGAAAUUGAUUUUUUUUUUGAAGAGGAAAUUGAUCUAUUUUAUUUAAAUUAUAUUUUAUAUAUUUGUGAUGAAAUUUUGAAAUUCCAAAUUUUAUAACACUAUUUAAGCGAUUAAAUAUAUAUUUAUUUAUUGAGGGGUUAUAUUAAUCUCCCUACUGUGCAGAUAUACUUGGAUGAAUUAGAAAGAUUUCUUUUCUGUUAGUUUCGCUACCAAUUGGUUUUAACAGAUUUUCUUCUUUCUUGUUUGUUUGCGUGGAAAAUCACCCAAGGGUCAUUGAGUACUAUUAUAGGCUUUGUGUUAAACGUGUUCUGAGGCUUGGGAUUUAAUUUGUUGAUUGACUUUUCAAAAGAAGACUUGGUUUUAACAAUAAGUCUAGGAGAAGAUCGUAGUGCUUCUUCACAAACUAAUUAAGCCCUUAAUCUCCUUCUCUCCCCUGAAAUUUUGGGAUAAUAAGAUCAAAGCUUCCAUUAUUCGGCCUUCUGGCCCUUGCUAUAACUCUAUUCCCUGAUGCAUGCAUCGCUAGAGGCAAACACAAGCACUGUGGCUCUUCUUUCUGUGGAAACAUUAACAUCACUUACCCUUUUCGAUUAAAAAGUCAGCCUCGAAGUUGUGGUUACAAUCGUUAUGAACUAGUAUGCGAGAAUAACCGCACCAUUUUGCCCAUGAAACAUGGGAAUUUCUAUGUCCAACACAUCUCUUUUAGUGACCAAACCUUUCAACUGUUAGACGUGAGUCUUGACAAGCAUAACUGCUCCAUUCCUCAUAGUUCCUGUCAUUGGGCCAGCGUUUGUCCCAAAAAACUAUAUGAUUGGUCCAUCCCUUCUGCGGUAAAACUAUAUCCUUGGCGCCCCUUUUCAGCGGAAGAAAUAAAUUUCUAUCAAACUAUCCCUGAAUUUAGAGUCAUGUAUCUCGUAAAUUGCAUGAUGCAGAUCAACGACUCUUGGGUUUAUAUCGAUGCUUUUCGUUGUACCAAUACCCUUCCUCUCGACCUCCUUAUUUUUACUUUUUGGAUGGAAAAACAGCACCGUCUGAUUUCCAUGAGUCAUGCACAGUUGAAGCCCGGGUUCCAAUCAUGGUUGCCAACAUCACCUUCCUCUCUACUUUUGAUAUUUACACAAAGCUGUUAGCGGGAUUCCAACUCUCAUGGUCAACUUCCUAUUAUCAUUAUGUUUCGCUGCGGUGGGACUCAAUUGUUAACGUGUGAGGGUUUUUAAGUAUUCCGCAAUAUUUGGUGUUGUUUAGCUUUUGAAAAAUAUUUAUUAUUUUUAGCACAAAUAUGAUAAAUAAAUAAAUAUAAAAAAAAUUUAGUUUUUAAUUCUUUUUUAAAAAUUUAAAUAUUUUUAAAUUACAUUUUUUAGUAUGUAUAUAAAUCUGUAUUUUAUUCAUUCUAAAAUUUAAACUCGAUAUUUUUUUUAAAAUUAGAAUCGCAAUUUUUUAUUAAUGUAGUGUCUACUUCAGACUUUAAUUAUUUACUUUUACUCUAAAUAUGUUUAAUGUAAAAUUUAAACAGAAGGAUUUAAAACAUUUUCAACAGUAAAAGUGCUAAUUUCAUUUGCCUUAUUAAGAAUUAACGUUUUUUAUUUGGUUUUUUGAAUAUUCAUUAUAGAUUGCUAUCCUUGCUCCAACUGUUGUUGCUUCCGCUGGCGAUAUAUAUAAAAAGCAACCUGGAUUUUCUGCGGGGCACCUUAACAGAGGAUAGUUUAGUUCCUAAUAAAGGUGUUCUUUCUUUCUGAGUUCAUUACUAUUUUGAUUAUUAUUUGGUUUGCCUUUACUUUCUUGUAUAGUAUCUAUAUAUUAACACUUAAUUUUCGAAUUGGUGAUAUCUUAGCAGGAAUCCGGAUUCCUUGUGUUACAAUAACAGGUACUAAAUUCUACACUUAUUUAUUUACUCUGAAAUUCUAGAGUUGUUACAAUGUACGACAUCGUAAUGUAGUAGGAAUCUAAGAUUCAGAUUUACAUUUGUAAUUUAUUAUUAUAAUAAUACAUAUAUUAAAAAAUUCAAAUAAUUUUUUUUAUUUCGUUCAAUCAAAUCAUCAUAUUUUAUUUUGAUUCAAAUAAACUUUUAUAAUUAACGGUUGACUAAUUGUUAUUAUUUCAAAUGUCACUUGUCAUUUUAUAUUCACGUGAUGUUGAUAUGAUACUGACAUGGAAGGUAAAAAUAGCACGUAAUUAUGUCAGCAUGUCACAUACUAUGACAUGUAAACAUGAUAUAUUAACGUCACAUGACAUAAAAUGACAAAUGACAUUUUAAUUAAUAACAGUUAGUUAACUAUUGAUUAUAACAAUUUAUUUGUUCCAAAAUAAAUGUUUAAUACUUGAUCAAACACAAUGAAAGAAUAAAAUUUAUUCAAAUUUUUUUAAGUAUUAUAUAUAUAUAUAUAUAUAUAUAUAUAUAUAUAUAUAUAUCAGUGUCAAUUAGUUAAAUUUACACCUUUUCAUAUUUUUUAUAUGAUUAAUAUGUUGUUACUUUCACUGUUGUAUUCCAUAUAUGCUCAAUUUACAUAGAUCAUGCAUGAAAAAUUUUAAAUCAAUUGAAAAUAUCUAAUUAUUUAUAUGAUAACAAUAAAAUUUUAACUGCUAAAUAUAUAUUAAAAAAUAAUAUUCUCUACCACUGUGAUACGGAUAUAUAUUACACUCCUUGAAACUUUAUAUGUACGAUUGGAUACAAAUAAAGUUAGCUUGCUAAAACAUAAAUGUAUAUUAAAUUAUAAAAUGGUGUAAAACUUAAUCAAUGUGUAACUUGAGCCCUCAUAUAUAUAUAUAAAAUUUUUAUGAGUAUUGCAUACAUGUGUAUGUAUGUAUAAAAGAGAUUCAAUAAAGGAUAAAAUAAUUAAAUAAAAGAAGAUCCACUGUAAAUAAUUCAUAAAUAAUAUUGAACUACAUUAAUGUUUUUUAGUCAAAAUAAAAAUUAUGUCCAAAUUUAUCAUUUUACUUUGGAUGAUGGACCAAAUUAUGAUCAUAUUUGAAUGAGUAUAAUUUUGUCACUAUACUUUUAAAUUGGUUAAAAAUAAUUAAAAGUUAUGAAAUAAACUAAAAAGUACAAUAAUAAAAAUUACACCUAUUCAAAAAUGAAUACUAAAUUUGAUCCAUCAUGUUAAGUAGAUUGGUCCUUUCAAAAAAAAUGUUAAGUAGAUUGGGGGUAAAUUUGAACCUUAUCUCAAACUACUCUGUGAAGUUUGUUUGUGAAAAUAUGGCAGCACAUACCCAAAUUAAAUUAGUAAAUAACAUAUACAUAUUCUAUAAUCAUGUUUUUCAAUUUUUUUUGUUUUUUCUCACCCAAGAAAAAGGUGUAUUAAAUCAAUAAAAGUACAAGAUUGGUGUAUUAAAUCAUGGUGUCCAACUAAUUAAUUUAUAUAUUGUUAUAUAUUUUUUGUUGUGAAACAGGAAUGAUAUUACUAAGAACAUUUUUGGGGAUAACUUGCUUGAUUAUAUUGGUUGUACGCAAAUUGAAAAGGAGGCAUUUGUCGAUGGAUGACAUGAUUGAGAAUUUUCUUCAAAGUCAAAACAAUCUAAUGCCUAUAAGAUAUUCUUAUUUUGAAAUAAAAAGAAUGAUGGAUGGUUUCAAGAAUAAAUUAAGACAAGGAGGAUAUGGCUCUGUGUUUAAAGGAAAACUUCGAAGUGGUCAACUUGUUGCGACAAAAUUGUUAAACAAAUCAAAAGCUAAUGGCCAAGAUUUCAUCAAUGAAGUUGCAACUAUUGAAAGAAUUCACCAUGUUGAUGUGGUAAGACUUGUUGGAUUUUGCGUGAAGGGAUCAAAACAAGCUCUUGUAUAUGACUUCAUGCAGAAUGGGUCCUUAGAUAAAAUUAUAUUUUCAACUGAAAGUAACACUUUGAGCUGGCAAAAAAUGUUUGAGAUUGCAUUGUGAGUGGCUCAAGGUAUUGAAUAUUUACAUAGAGGUUGUGAAAUGCAAAUUUUACAUUUCGAUAUCAUGCCACAUAACAUUCUUCUAGAUGAGAAUUUUAUCUCAAAAUUUUCAAAUUUUGGCCUUGCAAAGUUGUAUUCAGUGGAUGACAAUAUUGUCUCUUUUACAGCUACAAGAGGUACAUUAGGUAUAUGGCUCCUGAAUUGUUUUAUAAAAUAUUAGAAGCAUCUCAUAUGAAGCCGAUGUUUAUAGUUUUGGAAUGAUGUUAAUGGAAAUUGUCGGAAGGAAAAAAAAUGUGAAUGUCUCUGCUUAACAUUCAAGUCAAAUUUAUUUUCUAUCAUGGAUUGAUGAUCGACUUGAAGAAGGAGAUAUCAUAGAGCUUGGAGAUGUUACAGAGAAUGAAAACAAAAUUAUGAGGAAAAUGGUAAUAGUAGCCUUUUGGUGCAGAGAGAUGAAGCCCGCAGAUCGUCCUUCAAUGAGCAAAGUCUUGGAGAUGCUUGAAAGUGAAGUUGAGCUCCUUGAAAUGCCUCCCAAGCCUGCUUUCUCUUGAAAUGUCAACCAAAUCAUUUAGUGUUGAAUCAUAAGUAAUAUUUAAUAUUGUAUGUUAAGCAAUGUUUCACUACUUUAUUAUACUACUUUUAUAAUUUUUAUAGUAGAAACCUUAAGCUUGAGGCAUAAUCUUCUCUCUUCCUAAAAAAACAAAAAAAAAAAAACAAUAUAGAAUGGUGACGAAGAAUGUAUAUCAAGGAAAAAAGGAUAUUGAGUUGGAGUUUCGAGUGUGUGAAGGUGUUAUUUUAAGAGAGUUGUAAUGGUAUCUUGUAAGUAUUUUGCCUAUAUAAAAAGUCUUUUUGCUCAUAUAAAGGAUAAAGUCUUUAAAUACCAUUAUCUAUACAAUCAUUAUAUUAAUGCAAAUAAUUAACUUACUUUUUAACAAAAUUAAAAUAUUUCUGAACCAUGUUUCAAAUUAUAAUUUUUUUAUUUAAAAAUAUAAAUUAUUUAAGUUUUCUCUCUUAAUUAAAAAAGUCAAAUUUCAUCCAAUUCAAAAUUUUAUUUUAAUUGAUUCGAAAUCAAAUUCAAUUUAAUUCAAAUUAAAUAAAAAAAUUAAAAAUUUAAAUUUGAAAAUACAUGAAUUUAAAAUGAUAUUAAUUUUAGACGAUCCAAGUUCAACAUGACUCAAAUCUAAAACGAACAGAGCUCAUAAUGAUCCAAAACCCAAGAUUUAUUCGAUCCAAAACUUAUAAAAACUUAUAUUUAUAACUCCAAAAAAUCCAAAUUAUAAUUAAAUAUUUUUAUUUAAUAACUAAAUGAGUAAAUGAUUAUUUUUUAAGGGAAAAUUUUAAGACACACAAGCUCCUUCUCUCGUCAAUGCUUCUUUACUCAGAAACAGCUCGUAGGAAUGGCAUGGUCAACUACUCUGCUUCACCUUCAAUUCAAAUUCCCUCCGGUUUCUUCUCACCAAUUGCGAUGUUCCCUCCCCAAAAAAUCCCCAAUCUUCCUAAACCCUAACCCUGUAAUUCCCAAUUCUAAACCCCCCAAAAUGCAAUUCCUUCACAGACCCAACGCGUUUCCAGGCCACGGCGCAGUAUCAAGGGCCAUGGACAUCAUCCAAUCGUCGCCGCCCACGUGGCAAUCGGCCUUCCUCAGCAACCUCGUGAUCUUCGUCAUCGGAAGCCCACUUUUAGUAGCGGGGCUAUCUCUCUCCAGAAUUUGUGCUGCCUUCUUGCUUGGCACUCUCACUUGGCGCGCUUUUGGGUCUUCUGGGUUCCUCCUCGUUGCUUCUUACGUAAUAGUGAGUCCUCACAAAGUCUAUGGAUUUUAUUUGAAUUGUGGGAUUUAAGUUAAAUUUAGAAAUGGGGUUCUGAUUUUUGUUCCCAUUUGGUAUAAAGUUUACGCUUUGGAGGACAAGUUUCAUUGUUUGGUAAUAUGGCAAAGGAAAAGAAACUUAGUUUAUGUCAAAAAGAUUUCAUGUGAAGUAGUUUGUUAUUUAAGUGUGAUUUGUUUUUGUUUAAAGAAUUGGAUUACACUAGUGAAAUCACGUCAAAAUCAUAACCAAAAUAUUUUUUCCAAAAUUUCUUUAUUUUCAUUUGUUUUGCUCUUGGUGGGGGGCAGGUGGAGGAGCCAGGGAGAAUUUAUGGGUUCUCGCAGUUUUAGACUAGUUUGAAACGAUAUAGUAUUGUUUUUCCUGCUUUCCUUUCUAAUAAUGGCUUGUUUUACUUGCAAAAUGAAUCUUGAAUUAGUUCCUCCUUCCCUCUUCUGAUUUUCCCUACCCAUAUUUCUAGUUGAAGAUAAUAGUUUCAAAUCAUGCUUGAAAACUAUAUUACAAAAUACUUGUAAUAUCAAACAAUUUUGUGUGGCAUUCGAGUUUCUAAUUUGAAUGGAGAAAUAAUUGGGAUGGAAGUGGUAUUAAAUAAUUUAGAGGAAAGAAACCCGAAUGCCUUUUGCACCAAUACAAAGAAAAGAAAAGAAAACCUAGUACAAAACUUCGGAAGAUGCUUGAUUGUAAGCUGCUGGGCUUUUGAGGACCUGAGACUCCAUAAUACUUUAUAAUUCUCUAAAUCUUCAUGCAAUCUUACAGCUCUUUGUCAUGCCUCUAAAACAAAUGCGGUAAAACCAUGCUCAAUUGCUCAAAUUGUUAUGCUCAAUUGAGAACUCCUGACCUGUUAUGUGUGUGUGGAGAUGAUAACACCAAUGAAUGGCCUUGUUAUACGGAUGACCGCUCAUGAUAAUUGCUACUUCAAAAAUUAUUGGCUUAGAUUAUGCUGCUGUGUUUUGAAACUUGUUGGCAUGCCUCACGAAUGCUGCAAAAUGUGCAGAAGGUUUCUGAGAUCUUGCUGCCAUCUAAGAAGAAAGAAUGGUGAAAUUGUACAGGUACUAUGAAUAUGAUGUAAUGUUUAGCUUUUUUAUAGGGACUUCCUUUUUGUAUAGUGAACUUGGUUGCAUUGGAAUGAGUCUGUUCUCUGGGAAGAAUCACUGUUCUGAAAAUUGUUAGGUCUGAUCACAAUUGCAACCAGGAGCGGCAUGCCUUGCUUUUCUUCUCAUAGGGCAUCAGGGUAUCCCAUCAGGGUUCUUUUUGUGAACCCCUCUUAUGAAAUAACAUCUUCUAUGCCUUUCCAAAAAAAAAAAAAGUAACAAUCACAUGGCAUAAUUUUUUCUUACAAUAUGAGAGUACUGCAUCAGAGUUUCUUAAUGCAUUAAGAAAAGUUAGAGAUGAGGUCUAAGAAAAUAUCAAUUUCAAGAAGAAACAAAUAACACUAGAAUCAUAUUUUACAAAAAUAUCAUAAUUGAGUCAUGUAUAUAUAUAAUUUUGAUGUAUAAGAAAAUUAUUAAUUUAUAUAUCAAGUGAGAUCUAUGUGUUUUUUUUCAAAAUGUAUUAUCUUAUUAAUUUAACAAAUUAUUAAUUUAUCAUGUUGAUCUCAAAUCAGGACCAACCAAAAUUAUUAAUUUAUCAAGCAUUAUUUAUAGACGUUUUGUUGUACUUCUCUGUAAUUCACUCUAAAUAAAAGGGUAUGUUGAAACAAGCGGAAUUUAGAUCCCUUAUGGUUCUUGCUACAUUUAAGUACUAUUAAUGUCAUUUAUGCUGGUUAUAAAGAUCUGACAUUUUAUUUAGAAACAAAAUUUGUAGAGUGUCAAGCUUUAAUAGCUUUUUUUUUGUUGCUUUUUAAUGUUUAUAUUCGUUGCUAUAUACUAUUUUUUUUCCCUAUCAAACCAUUCUUUCAUGCUUACAAAUUUAAAUUUGUGGUGUGCAAAAAUUGUUGAUAUAUUUCAAAAUCAAAUGUUAUGUCACAUAAUAAAAAGCUAUUUUAGCUCAAAAGUUGUCACAUAAAAUGACAUAGUGUGACUAUUGAAUUGUAGGUAGGUUUUCAUAUGAAUGGUUAUGUCUCUAGGUAAAAUGACAUUCAAAAAUUAUGAGACAAAUUGAAAAAAUACUAUAGCUCAAAAGUUUAAGAGCUUGUUUGGCCUAGUUUUUUUUUAACUUAAAAGCUAUUAUUAAGCUCUUAUGAAAAAUAAUAGCUUUUAAAAAUUAAGCUAAAAUUAUUUGAUAAAUUGUUUAACAAAAUAAAUUAUAUAAGCUCUAAUUUCGGUUAAAAUUACCAUAAAGGGUAUUCAUGCUAUCUUCAAUCACCUAAUAAGCUAUAAUGUAAUGCUUCAAGUUUGUAUAUAAUUUCAGAUAUUAAAAUCGAAGAAAUCAAUAAAAAAAUGAAUAAUUUUCAAACUUAUAUAGUAGCAAUAGUAUUAGACUUUUGUUGAUCUAACAAGCAAUCGGACCAUGAUGCUUCAAUUCCCAAAAAAGAAGAAAAGGGAGGAAACGGUGUAUUUAAUAUUAAAAUCUUUUUUAGUGAAAAAAAAAAUAGAAAACCUUUAAAUAGUUUUUGAAUGCAGUUUUGAAUUUUAGAUUUUUUUUCUCUCAAUUUUUGUAAGAACAAAAAAAUUUUAAAUUUUGUUAUUCAAUGGUUGGUCUUCUGUUUUUAAUUUUUUAGUAGUCUUUAGAGAGGUAGAGGAGAGGGAGAUAGUAAUUUUACGUUGGAGAAUGGUAAUUUGCAGAGGGAAGAAGAGGAGAGGGAGAUUAAUUUAGAGAUGGGUAUUUCCUGAAAUUAAUGUAUUUUUAAAAGAAGAAAAAAAAAAGCUCUUCCUUGGAGCUUUUUUUUAAAGCUCUUUUUUUUUUUUUUAAAUUUUGUUCUUAAAAAAAAACUGUUUUUUUUUUUAAGAGCUUCUCAAAAAAGCUUUUGGUUUUAAAAGGUAGAUAAGGUGAAAAAAAACAGGCCAAACAUGUACUAAAUAUGAAAAGUUAUUGUUUUAAAUUAUAACUCAAAGAUUAUGUUUUAUGGAAUGAAUAGUUCUCCUUUCAUAAGAUGAUUAUUAAGUGCUUGUUUGGCCUAGUUUUUUUUCAGCUUAUCUAUCUCUUAAAAAUAAAAGUCAGGCCAAACAUAAAAUUUUAAAAAGCUCUUAAAAAAAAGUAGCUUUUAUUAAAGAACAAAUUUUUGAAAAAAGAGCUUCAAGGAAAAGCUCAUAUUAAGAGUUUUUUCUUCUCUUUUUUUAAAAAUGCAAGAGAAUUUUUAUUUUUGUUCCAAAAAUAUCAUCAUCUGUUAAAAUAAUUACAAUAUUACCCUCUCAAAAAAAGAAAUACCCUUUAUGAUAAUUUUAACAAAAAUUUAUAACUUAUAAAAAGAAAUUUACUAAAUAAUUUUAGCUUAAUUUUAAAAGCUAUUAUUAUUCAUAAGAGCUUCAUAAGAGCUUUUAAGCUAAAAAAAAGCCAGGCCAAACAAACUCNUCAGGCCAAACAUAAAAUUUUAAAAAGCUCUUAAAAAAAAGUAGCUUUUUUUAAAGAAUAAAAUUUUGAAAAAAAGAGCUUCAGGAAAAGCUCCUAUGAAGAGCUUUUUCUUUUCUUCUUUUAAAAAUGCAAGAGAAUUUUUAUUUUUGUUCCAAAAAUAUCAUCAUCUGUUAAAAUAAUUACAAUAUUACCCUCUCAAAAAAAGAAAUACUCUUUAUUAUAAUUUUAACCAAAAUUAUAACUUAUUAAAAAAAAUUUACCAAACAAUUUUAGCUUAAUUUUAAAAGCUAUUAUUUUUCAUAAGAGCUUUAUAAUAGCUUUUAAGCUAGAAAAAAGCCAGGCCAAACAGACUCUUAAACAAUACCUUUAUCUUAGAGUUGUAUCUAGCAAAAUGUAAAGAUGUCUUUUAGACAAAAUAGUGCCUUAAUGAAAGGGUUGUGUUCUUGAAGAAGAGACACUUGCAAGCCUAUAUAAAGGGCCUGUUGCCAACCAUUUUGACAUAUCAAAUAAAAAACAAAACAAAAGCAGAAAAAUCAAGAGUAAGAAAAGUGUUAUGUUCUAUUAACAUAAACACUUAAGUUCCCAUCAACUACAAAAGCGUCCAAAUUUUUUAUAAUCUACUUGUUGUAGAGAGUAGGCUCUAAGUCCUAACAACUUUACAAACCCUCGAGUGUAUCUAGUGGUCUACUCUUGUAAAGUGCAAGACGAAGUUAGACAUUAGCUUCAUUGUAUCUCUAAGGCUAUUUGCAUUAUUCCCUUUUGCAUACCGAGUGGUGGGGACUAAAUAAGUCUUAAAGAUAACAUCUAUUGAAAGACUCGCCUUAAAGUCAAGUUUUUCGAUUCUUAAAUUCCAUCUAAACCCCAUUUGCACCAACAAAAAUGAGCAGGUACCUACUUUACUUUAUUAUUCUACUUUUAUUAUAUAAUUUUUAUAGUCUCCUUUUUCAUCUUAUAUAUGGAAUCAAAUCCAUAUAGAAACCUUAAGCUUGAGGCAUAAGCUUCUCUCUUAUGAAAAUAAAAUAAAAGUCAAGAGCAGUAUAUAUACCAUUGUGAAUGAAUAAAGUAUAAAAACAUGGUGCCUUUUGAGAUACAAAACAUUGUGAAUGCGACAAGAAGUAUUAGUUGUAAUGUGUUAAUGGUCAUUUUUUAAUCAAAUUAAAAAUGUUACUAUUAGCAAUAUCAAGAAUUGCCAGGGAGAAAUUCAUUGAUAAAAUGACAAAUACCUAAAUUCUCUUCAUUGGCAACUUUACUAAAAAUCACUUUAAAAAAAAAAUUAGUAAAAGAUUUUCCAUAUUAUCUCUAUAUAUAAUACAAUAUCAAAAUUUAGUAUUAUAAAAUAUUUUAUUUUAUGCUUUUUUAGUACUAACAUAUUUUAAACAAUGUCAUUGUUUAUUUUAUUAUUACAUGGACACUACUUAUGUCAAACCCUGUUCUAUAUAAUAAUUACGACAUCAUUUACAUGCUCAAUAGAAUAGUUGCAUAUUUAGGAAGUUUGAGAAAUCGUUAAAAGACGAUAUUGCCCCUAAUGGUAUCAUUAAGUCGAUUAAGCCUCGAACUAGUUCAAAUAGGAAUUUUAAGGUGAAAUUCAAAAUUUUACAGUCAAAGAAUGACUUAAAAUGGUGAUUUGGAGUUCGAGGAUCAAUUUGGAGUCAAAUCGGAAUUUUUGCUAUCUAGGGGCAAAAUGGUCAUUUGCCACCUAGAGACAAAAUGAAAAUUUUUAGAAAAGAUUUUUUUGGCCCCAUUUGACUCAUUGGAGUAUGAUUUGAGUAUUGGAGUAUGAUUUGAGGUUUAGAAGUGAAAAAUUUUAAUUUCGGUAUAGUUUAGAGUAUAAGGGUAAAAUGGUAAUUUUACCACCCUAGGGGCAAAACAGUAAUUUUUCACCACCAGGACACUUGUCCAGCACAUGGUCUUCCCUUAUCCUCAUUUUGACCUUUGACUAAUCAUGUGGUGGAGAUAAAAGGUUUAAAAUUUUUAAAGUUUUAAAAAUGGACCAAUGGAAACAUGCCACGUGUCAAGCAAGGAUAUUUUAUUAUUUUCUAUAAAAAUCAGCCCAUAUUUAUCCCAUUCUUCUUCUCCAUAUUCGGCCAAGACAAAAGGAAAGAAAGGAAAAACAAGAACAAAACCUAGGUGGAGGAUUUCAAGAGAAAAAGUGUGGAAAAUCAAGGAAAACAAGUGAAAAAGGUAAGAUUUUUCAAUUUAAACUUGAAAUCUAUUUUCCUUACGCAUUUCUCUUUAUUUUUCAUGCUUAAAUUACAUGUUUUCAUGAUGAAUUCAUGACUGAUCAAAACGGGUAUGGAGAGAGAAAGAUGUUGGAUUGAAUUGAUUUUAAGAUAUGUUAGUGUUUUUAGUUAGUUUAGCAUAUUUAGAAGCAAAACAAUAAGAAAAGAAUCCAUUUUUCCCAUGAAUCAUCAUUGGCCGAAUCUUCCUUCAUGUGUGUGGGUGGUGGAUUGUUAUUAUUUCAAGAGAAAUGGCUUAGAAAAUGAUGAAUAAUGGUGAAAAAAAUUAAGUAGGAAAAAUCACUGUGUUAGUGCACUGUAAUGGCCGAAUUUUUCCAUGAAGAAAUGGGAGGGUUUUGAUGCUGAAAUUGGUGUUAUUUGAAUAAUGUUUGGUGAAUUGAGGUAUUAGAAAUGAAAUGGAGCAAUUUGGAGCCAAAUCGGACACAAUUGUCAUUUAAUCGGGUAAUAGGCCGAAUUAGGUCAACACCGCAUUUAAGCGGUAGUCGGAUAAGUUGCAUAUCAUAUCAUGCAUAUACACUGAGCCUGAAUUGAUUUUAUAAUGGUCAAGCAUUAAUGUGGUGAAUUAUGUAUUGUACAUUGUGGAUAGGUAGUGAGCAUAUUACACUAGUAAAAGUACAAAGAUUGUGCUUGAAGACUGGGAUUAGGAGUACAUCGACUCCUAGAACUGUGAGUAAACUUAUUAUUGUCUUAAUUAUCUAGAGUAGUUUUAUACAAUUAUGUGAUUUUAUAGAAAAUGAGUUUAAAUGGUAAAUUGCUAUGUUUUAGGAGAAAUUGUGAUUUUAUAAAAUGAUUUUAUAAAUUUUUUGAAAAAUUGAAUACUAGUUUUGAAAAUAGAGUAAUUGGAAACUGCCUGCUUGUGUUAUAAAUUGUGUUUUAAAUUAUAUGGCUUAUAGCAAUAUGUGAGCAUGAAUGGCAAAGUCAGUAUUUGUAUUAAAAUUAUAUAUACUAUGUAUUCAGCCUUGAAAUGCUAGAUUUUGAUAAAUUACCAUGUCAUGCAGAUAAGGAUUUUAUAAAUUAUAUGGUAGAUAAAAUAAUCCAUAAUCCCUACAGUGGAGGUUUUGUGGACCAGCCUAAGAGAGGGGGCACAGAAUCAGAUAUACCUUACCUCGAUCGGAGAGCCGUGUGAAGGGUGUCUCUGGAGGUAAAGAUUUGAGUGCACUUUACGUGGACCAUCACGUGAGAGUGAGACUCAGCCAACGCCAAGGCAUGGCUAGAAUUUCAAAUGUAAAGACAUUUAACAGCCUUGGUGGUCUCGGUCAGAUGCUUAAGCCAAGGCAUCCCCGGGAAUGAUUUUGGCAGAGCCAAGUUUUGUGAGAUAGAUAAGCCAUGUUGAAUUAUUGAGUAAACUGAAUAUUCAUGUUAUGAAACAUAUAUUGAAAAAAUAUGUAAAAACCCUUAAAUUUUUAUUCUUUUAUUAUAACUAAACAAGUCGCAAACUCUUAAUUUUAAUAAAAAAUUUAACAAUCAUCAAAUUUAUUAUCAAUUGAUAUUUUUUUUGUCUAAUUAAUAUAUGAUAUGAUAAUUAAUAUAAUUGCGUGAUGGUAGACAUAACCCCAUAAAAAUUAAUGUGAAAUGAGUCAUGCUAUCAUGUCAUCAAGUUAUGCCGACAAGAAAAUGUCAACUAAAUUUUAAAAAAUGAUUGGAAUUUUUAAUCUUCCUCAGAAUUUUUUAUACAUAUGAAAAGAAAAUGUAAAGUAUGGAACUGAUUAAGAAUCCCAAUCCUCUGUCACAUUCGUUGACUUUUCAAAUGUAGACUUGGCUUUAAUAUUAAAGACAAGAGAACACUUUUUCACAAACUAAUCAUGCCCUUAAUCUCCUUCUCUCUCACGGAAACUUUAGGCUGCUGAGAGCAAAACUUCCAUUACUUUGCCUCUUGGCUUUGGCUUUUUUUCUUCUCCUUCAUGCAUGCAUCGCUUGAGUCAAAAACAAGCACUGUGGCUUCUGUUUCUGUGGCUCUUGUUUCUGCGGAAACAUUAACAUCAAUUACCCUUUCCGUUAAACUUAGAUUUGAUUUCAAUUGCAGCCACAGAAAUAAUUAGCAAAGCAAUGAAGAUAACAUUGUCCUAAGAGUUAAUGUUUCUCGUUAAACUUUUUUAUAUAUACUCCUCCACAGAAAAAUACUGUUGUUAACGUGUGAGGAUUUUUAAGUAUUCCGCAAUAUUUGGUGUUGUUUAGUUUUUGAAAAAUAUUUAUUGUUUUUAGCAUAAAUAAAUUUGACAAAUAAACAAAUAUGAGAAAAAUAAAUUUUUAAUUUUGAAUUCUAAUUUUAAAAAGUGGACAAUAUUUUUAAAUUACUUUUUUAAUUUUGUGUAUAAAUUUGUAUCAUAAAAUUUAAACUCGACAUUUUAAUGUAAAAUUUAAAGAGAAGGAUUUAAAACAUUUUUUCGUUUGGGCCCGGGGAAUCCCUUGCUUUUGGCUAUGGUCUUUAUUUACCUUUUUUGCACCUUUUUUUUUCGAAACUAUUAAUUCACAAACACUAUUGGAACGACGCGGCACGACAGCAAUACCACGACAAUCUACGAUUCAGAUUGACAUUACUAAUUUAUUAUUAUAAUAAUAAAUAUAUUAAAAAUUUUCUAAACUAUUUAAAAUAAUUUAAUUAAGUCUUCCUCUUUUUAUUUUGUUCAAUUAAACUCUUAUAUUUUUAUGUUGAAAUAAAUAAACAUUUAUAAUUAAUGGUUAACUAACUUUUAUUAAUUCAAAUUCAACUUGUCAUUUUAUACCCAAGUGACGUUGACAUGAUGUAAACAUGAAAGGUAAAAAUGUCAUGUCAGCAUAACAUGUUAAUAUCAUGUGACAUAAAAUAAUAAGUAGAAUUUUGAUUAAUAACGGUUAGUUAAUUAUUAAUUAUAAUGGAUUAUUUGGUUUAAAAUAGAAAUACAAGAAUUUGAUUGUACGCAAUAAAAGCUUAAAAGUUUAUUUGAAUUUUUCUAAAUAAUUCAGAGACAUUUUUAAAUAUUAUGCAUAUAUAUAUAUAUGUGAAAUUAAUUAAAUUUACAACUUUCAUAUUUUUUAUACAAUUUAUAUUUUGUUGAUAUAAUCGUUGUAUUCCAUAUAUACUUUAUUUACAUAGAUCAUGCAUGAAAAAUUUUAACUUAAUUAAAACUUUCUAAUUAUUUGUAUGAUAACAAUGAAAUUUUAAUCGUUAAAUAUAUAUUAAAAAACAAUAUUCCCCACCAAUGCUCUCCGGGUAUCAUUCUGACUAGAAACUUUAUAUGUAUGAUUAGGUGCAAACAAUGUUAGCUUGCUAAAAGUUAAUUGUAUAUGAAAUUAUAAAAGGUGUAAAACUUAAUCAAUGUGUGUAUAUAUAUAUAUAUAAUUUUUAUAAGUAUUGCAUAUAUGUAUACAUAUGUAUAAAAGAGAUUCAAUAAAAGAUAAAAUAAUUAAAUAAGAGAAGAUCCACUACAAAUGAUUCAUAAAUAAUAUUGAACGACAUUUAUUAGAUUUUUUAGUAACAUAUUUUAUGUUGUUACGAUGUUUUUUGGUCAAAAUAAAAAAUUUGUCCAAAUUUAUCAUUUACUUUGGGUGAUGGAUCAAAUUAUGAUCGUAUUUGAAUGAAUAUAAUUUUGUCACUAUACUUUAAAAUUGGUUAAAAAUUGAUCAAAAGUUCUGAAAUAAACUAAAAGGUACGAUAAUAAAAAUAACACCUGUCAAACCCUGUUCUAUAAAAUAAUUACGACGUCAUUUACAUGCUCAAUAGAAUAUUUGCAUAUUUAGGAAGUUCAAGAAAUCGUUAAAAGACGAUAUUACCCCUAAUGGUACUAUUAAGUUGAUUAAGCCUCGAACUAGUUCAAAUAGGAAUUUUAAGAUGAAAUUAAGAGUUUCAUAGUUCAGGGAUGACUCAAAAUGGUAAUUCGGAGUCCGAUGAUCAAUUUGGAAUGAAACCGGAAUUUUCACUAUCCAAAGGUAAAAUGGUCAUUUGCCACUUGAGGACAAAAUGAGAAUUUUAAAAAAGAUUUUUUGGCCCCAUUUGAUUUAUUGGAGUAUGAUUUGAGUAUUGGAGUAUNNNNNNNNNNNNNNNNNNNNNNNNNNNNNNNNNNNNNNNNNNNNNNNNNNNNNNNNNNNNNNNNNNNNNNNNNNNNNNNNNNNNNNNNNNNNNNNNNNNNNNNNNNNNNNNNNNNNNNNNNNNNNNNNNNNNNNNNNNNNNNNNNNNNNNNNNNNNNNNNNNNNNNNNNNNNNNNNNNNNNNNNNNNNNNNNNNNNNNNNNNNNNNNNNNNNNNNNNNNNNNNNNNNNNNNNNNNNNNNNNNNNNNNNNNNNNNNNNNNNNNNNNNNNNNNNNNNNNNNNNNNNNNNNNNNNNNNNNNNNNNNNNNNNNNNNNNNNNNNNNNNNNNNNNNNNNNNNNNNNNNNNNNNNNNNNNNNNNNNNNNNNNNNNNNNNNNNNNNNNNNNNNNNNNNNNNNNNNNNNNNNNNNNNNNNNNNNNNNNNNNNNNNNNNNNNNNNNNNNNNNNNNNNNNNNNNNNNNNNNNNNNNNNNNNNNNNNNNNNNNNNNNNNNNNNNNNNNNNNNNNNNNNNNNNNNNNNNNNNNNNNNNNNNNNNNNNNNNNNNNNNNNNNNNNNNNNNNNNNNNNNNNNNNNNNNNNNNNNNNNNNNNNNNNNNNNNNNNNNNNNNNNNNAACCUUCAAUGGCCGAACCCUAUGUGAAGUGUAGAAGUAAUGAAUUGAUUUUGUGAUCAAGUGAAUUGGUUGAAAAAUUGAUGAAAUGAUGAUUUAUGGUGAGAAAAUGGAAUGGGAAAAUUUUUAGUGAUAGUGCACCACAAUGGCCGAAAUUUUCAAGAAGAAUUGUGAGGGUUGUCAGGCUGAAUUUUAGAUUAUUGGAAUUGUAUUUAGUGAAUUGAAAUAUUAGAAAUGAAAUAGAGCAAUUUGGAGCAAAAUCGGACACAAUUGUCAUUUAAUCGGGUAAUAGGCCGAAUUAGGUCAACACCGCAUUUAAGCGAUAGUCGGAUAAGUUGAAUAUCAUAUCAUUCAUAUUGUCACGAACCGGAACUCCCAUCGAGCCCGUGACAACAGCCGCGACGUCUCGAUCGACAUUCAUUACCCGGAAUGUCAACCGGAACCCGGCAAGGUUUUAAUAUCAGCUUCUCAUUUUCCCUGUGGGUAACUGUUUUCAAAUACCACAUUCUAAAAGAUUUUAAAUUGUUUCCAACUUAAGCAAAUAAAAUAAUAAUUUUCAUCUCACAAGGGAAUUUUGGUCAUUUAUCCCAAAAAUCUCAAAAUCAUCUAAAAAUAUAGUAUGUAAGUGGAAAACACAUAUUUCAUAAUCAAAAAUAAUUUUGGAUGUCUAAAACAUUCGUUUAAAAUGGAAUUAUGACUGUUAUAAUAAAAUAAAAAUAUUAAAUAAAAUAUUCAAUUUCCACAUAAAACGAUAUUUUAAGAACAUUGCAUAAAUAAUUUUUAUAGUGUAAAAGCAAAAUAAAUUCUUACAUACCGUAAUACAGAUAACCAAAGUAUACAAUUUAAUUUACAGUGACAAGUGGGCCCACGAAUGACCAAAAGUAUCAAAAGAAAUGAACCUACAGUUUUUGGAUGUGGCAAGUUCAACUAUAAUCAUCGCCGAUAUCAGUUAUCUACAAUCUAUUCUGAGCCUGAAAUAGGUGGAAAGGAGGAUGGUGAGAUUAUAAAAUCCCAGUGAGUAAACAAACAUCACCUAAAAUAUCUAAAGUCGAGUAAAAGGAGACUAUUAAAACAUUUCAUCAAACUGUAAUUUAUCAUCUUUCAACCUAUUUCAACCAAAUGAAAUCAAUUUAUUUAAAGCAAGUAAUCAGUAUGGCUUAUGAAUUUCUUAAAAAGCUUGGCUCAUGCCAAAAAUUAUUAUCAUACUCAGUUAUCUGGGAUACCUUGGCCGAGAGCUAUCCCAACUGAGUCCGCCAAGGCUAUUAGAAAGUCGUGUUUUUAUUUUGAAAACAUAGUCGUUCCUUGGCGUUGGCCGAGUUCCCCUUCACGUGGUGGUUUAGCGUGAAGUGAAUUCUAAAAGUUAUAUCUCGGGAGUUACCCUACUCGCCUCUCCAACCGAGGUAAAAAUAUAACAGGAUUCUGUGCUCCUCUAAUAGGCUAGUCCACAGAACCCAACCUACUGCAGCAGGUCAAACCCACCAUACAAUAAAAUUUUGACAGCAUGACAGGGCUAAUAUAUUACUACCCAACCUGCAAGGGUAAAAUAAAGCAAUUCAUACAAUUCAUAAAAAUACAGCCCAGCCAGUCAUGCCAAUACAAUAACAUAAGCCAUUGAUUCAAUUUUAAAUUUACAACAUAUCAGUAGUCUCCAAUUACUCUAUUUUCAAAAUCAUUAUUUCGUUUCAAGACAAUUUAUAAAAUAUUUUCAUUUAAACUCAUUUUGUUUACAAAAUAUAAAAAUUUACCAUUUGAACUCAUUUUCAUAAAAUUCACCAAAACCGAAUAAAAACAUACUUUAGAUAAUUAAAAUGAUGGUAAGGUUACUCACCGUGUCUAAAGUGGAGAUUUUCGAAAUACUCAGACUACUGGUCUUCGGGUGCAAUUCCCUUGCCUUUAUCGGAAGACUCACCACCUUGACACAGUGCAAAAUCGAGAAAUUCACCACAUUGGUACUAAAUUGAAAUUAAACUAAUUUAGACUACUAAUGCUUGAUAUGGAAUGCAAAAAUGUCUAAAUUUUUGCCUAAAUGCGGUGUUAGCCUAUUUCGGUUUUUUACUCGAUAAAUCGAUAUACGCGUCCGUUUAAACUCCAAAUUAAUUUUUUUCAGUUUCUAUACCCCAAUUGCACCCAAAUUGACUUAAUGUCCCUCAGUGUGGUGCAAAUUAUCAGUCUCGAUAGCAAAUUACAAAAAUACCCCUAGUGGGUAAAAAUUUGUAUUUUUGCUCCUAAAAUUCUCAUUAUUUUUCUAGGCUCAUAAUUCAUUAUUAUUUAUCAUAAUUCCUCAAAUAAACAUCAAGAUCAGCAGCCAAUAUUCCCCUAGAAAAUUCGGCAUAAUGGGUUUCAAUGGGAGAAAAUUAUAUCUCUAGCUUAUUUUUGCUAUAUUUCAAUAUAACUUAACUAAAAUCGCUUAAUUCAAUUAAAAUCAACCAAAAAUCAAGCUCAAAACUCAUCCAUGGAAGUUUGGCCAGCAUGGGUGUCCAUACCCACUUUCUAAUUUUGCAUGGAAAUGAGAAAAAAAUGCAUGGGUAGUGAAAAUCACAAGGAAAAUCAAUGAAAUUUACCUUUUUAAUGCUUGAUUUCUUGAUUUCUCUUGAUUUUCCCCAAAUUUUCAGGUAGGGUUCUUAUUUUUUUCCCCCUUUUCUCUCCUGGUUUGGACGGCUGAAGAAGAUGAGAAUUCUGAAAUUUUUACCUUUUUAAAGGCUAAAAUAAAUAAUAUUAUUUUAGUCAUUUUUUUAAUGUUUUAUUAAUUUCUUAAAUUCUAGCCAUCCAUUUGUUUCCAAAUUUUCACCAUACACUUGUCCCACAUAUCCAUAGCUUAGAUAAAAUUCUCAGACUUAUCCAAACUCUUGGUGGAGUAAUUUUUGAAAUUUACACUUUUACCCCCGUAAAAGUCAAAAAUUACAUUUUUGCCCCAAAAACUGAAAAAUUGCCCCUAGACAUAUUUUUCAUCCCUUAUACUCAUACCAUUCUCCAAUUUGUCAAAUUUGAUCUAAAUUCUCUCAAAAUCUCAAAUUUUAUCCGCUAGUGGUAAAAUUACGAUUUCGCCCCUACACUCUAAAAAUCACCGAAAUUAAACUUUUUCACUGCCAAACCCUCAAAUUAUACUCCAAUACUCAAAUCAUACUCCAAUAAGUCAAAUGGGGCCAAAAAAAUUCUUUUCUAAAAAUUCCCAUUGUGUCCAUGGGUGGCAAAUGACCAUUUUACCCCUGGACAGUGAAAAUUUCAAUUUGACUCCAAAUUGAUCCUCGAACUCCAAAUCACUAUAUUAAACCAUUCUGGGACUUUAAUAUUCUUAAUUUUAUUUUAAAUUCUCUAUUUGAUCUAGUUCGAGGCUUAAAUUAACUUAAUUGUAUCAUUUGGUACAUUGUCGUCUUUUAACGAUUUUUCUUUCGGGGCUUUCCAAGUAUGCAAGCAUAUUGUCAAUCAUAUGAAUGACAUGACAAGUAUUUUAUAAGGUCGGGCUUGACACAUAUACACCGAGCCUGAAUUGAUUUUAUAAUGGUCAAGCAUUGAUGUGGUGAAUUAUGUAUUGUACAUUGUGGAUAGGUGGUGAGUAAAUUACACUGAUAAAAGUACAAAGAUUGUGCUUAGAGACUGGGAUUAGGAGUGCAUCGACUCCUAUAACUAUGAGUAAACUUAUUAUCGUCUUAAUUAUCUAGAGUAGUUUUAUACAAUUGUGUGAUUUUAUCAAAAAUGGGUUUAAAUGGUAAAUUGCUAUAUUUUAGGAGAAAUUGUGAUUUUAUAAAAUGAUUUUAUAAAUUUUUUGGAAAAUUGAAUACUGGUUUUGAAAAUAGAGUAAUUGGAGACUGCUUGUGUUGUAAAUUUAUGGUUUUAAAUUGAAUGGCUUAUGACAAUAAAUGAGCAUGAAUGGCUAAACUGAUUUUUGGUGUUAGAAUUAUUUGUACUGUGUAUUCAGCCUUGAGAGGCUAGGUUGCGAUAAAUUGUCAUGUUAUGUAGAAAAAGAUUUUAUAAAUCAAGUGGUAAAUAAAGUAAUCCAUAGUCACUACAGUGGUGGGGGUUUUCGUGGACUGCCUAUGAGAGGGGCACGGUAACCCAAUUAUAUAUUUACCUCAAAGGGGAGAUGUUGGAUGAAGUAUCUUUAGAGGUAAAGAUUUGAGUGCACUUCACGUGGACCACCGCGUGAGAGUGAGACUCGGCCAACACCAAGGCAUGGCUAAAAUUUCGGAUGUAAAGACAUUUAAAAGCCUUGACAGACUCAGUUGGGAUAAUCCUCAAUCAAGGUAUCCCUGAUAACUGAGUAUGAGAAUGAUUUUUGGCACGAGCUAAGCUUUUCAGGAAAUCAUAAGCCUAGUUGUUUAUUUGAUUGAAAUGAGUUGAAAGGUAAUGAAAUUACAAUAUGAUGACUUAUUUUAAUUUGUCUCCAUUUACUCGCCUUUAGAUAGUUUAGAUGGUGUCUGUUUACUCACUGGGAUUUUAUAAUCUCACCACCCUCCUUUCCUCACAUUUUAGACUCGAGGAAUUCCAUAGUUAGCUGACUUUGACAAAGACCUUCAUUUGGACUUGAAUCGGCAAAAGCUAUAGGUUUUCAGCUUCUGAUGUAUUUUGGUUAGAUGUGGGCCCACGUGUCACUGUAAAAGUAAUUUUAUGCUUUGGUUAUUUGCUUUAUAGUAUAUAUGAAUAUAAUUAACUUUUACGUUAUAAGAAUUAUUUACCGAUAGCUUUAUAAAAAUUAUUAUACAAGAAAAUAGUUUAUUUUAUUGAAUAUUUUUAUUAUAUUCAAAUGGUCAAAUUUUCACUUCAAAUGAACGUUUUAGAUACUUAAUUUGUUUUCAAAUCACUAAAUAUAUAUUUUUUGCUUACCUACUACAUUUUUAGCAAGUUUUGAGAUUUUUGAGAAAAAAUGACGAAAAUGCCCCUGUGAGCCAGAAAACAAUAUGUUAUGUUUUGAUUUGGAAAUGACUCGUAAUCCUUUGAAUUACGAUAUUUGAUAACUAUUGCUCAUCGGGGAAGUGCAAAAGCUGAUACGAGAGCUUUACGAGGUUUCGAUUGGCAUUCGGGGUGAAGAAUGUCUGUCGAGGCUUCGCGACGGUUGUCACGGGCUCGAUGAGAGUUUCGGGUCAUGACAACACCCAUUCAAAAAAUGAGUAGUAAAUUUGAUCCAUUAUGCUAAGUAGAUUGGUGGUAAAUUUGAACCUUAUGUCAAAUUAUUCUAUGAAGUUUGUAUGUGAAAAUAUGGCAGCUAGCACAUACCCAAAUUAAAUUUGUAAAUAACAUAUACAUGUUCUAUAAUCAUGUUUUCCAACUAAUUGAUUUAUAUAUUGUUUGUUAACUCUUUUUUUUUAAGAAACAGAAAUUCUUUUACUAAGAACUUUUUUGGGAAUAAUUUGUUUAAUUGUGUUGGUUAGAUGAAAAUUAAAAAGUAGCAUUUGUCGAUGGAUGACAUGAUUGAAAAUUUUCUUCAGAGUCAAAACAAUUUAAUGCUUAUAAGAUAUUCUUAUUUUGAAAUAAAAAGAAUAACUGAUGGUUUCAAGAAUAAAUUAAGUCAAGGAGGAUAUGGUUCUAUGUUUAAAGGAAAACUUCGAAGUGGUCAACUUGUUGCAAUAAAAUUGUUAAACAAAAAAAAAAGGUAUCACCCAAGAUUUCAUCAAUGAAGUUGCAACUAUUCGAAGGAUUCAUCAUGUUAAUGUGGUAAGACUUAUUGGAUUUGGCGUGAAGGGAUCAAAAUAAGCUCUUGUAUAUGACUUCACGAAGAAUGGGUCAUUGGAUAAAAUUAUAUUUUCAACUAAAAAUAACACCUUGAGUUGGCAAAAAUGUUUGAGAUUGCAUUGGGGGUGGCUCGAGGUAUUGAAUAUUUACAUAGAGGUUGUGAAGUGCAAAUUUUACAUUUUGAUAUCAAGCCACAUAGCAUUCUUUUAGAUGAGAACUAUACUCCAAAAGUUUUAGAUUUUGGCCUCACAAAAUUGUAUUCAGUGGAUGAUGAUGUUAUUUAUCUCAUAGUAGCAAGAGAUACGAUAAGUUAUAUGGCUCCAGAAUUGUCACGACCCGGAACUCCCAUCGAGCCCAUAACAAUCGUCGCGAAGUCUCGUUAGACAUUAUUUACCCUAAAUGCUGAUCGAAACCUCGUAAGGCUUUCGUAUCAGUUUUCUUACCUCCCCUGUGAUCGACAGUAACUAAAAUCGUGUUUUGAAACGAAAUGGACCAUUUUUCCAUCCAAAAACAAUGAAAAUUUAUUUCUGCCUCACAGGGGUAUUUUAGUCAUUUUUUUUCAAAAAUACGGAAACCCUUUAAAGUAGAUAACUGAAGUAUAAAAUUACUUUUCAGUGAUACGUGGGCCCCCAACUGACCAAGAAGGUGUAGGGCUACGAACCCUUACUUUCUAGGAUGCAACUCCGAGAUUAAUUCUCGUCUUAAUCAACUAUCAACAAACUGUCUUGAGCCUGAAAAAUGGAUAGAAAGAGGGGUGAGAUUACAUAAUCCCAGUGAGUAAACAAUUACCAUCAAAAACAUCUAAAGCCGAGUAGACGGAGACAAUAUAAAAACGUUAUAUCUCAAUAAUGUUCAUAACGCAAAAUUCGUUUCAAUCUAUACCAAACAAUUUCUUUUCGUCAAAAUUUCCCGGCUUAUGAAUUUCUUAAACUUGGCCCUUGCCAGAAUCAUUCUUGCGGGUACCUUCGUCAAGGUAUCCCACUGAGACAGCCAAGGCUGUUAAAUGUCCCAUACCCAUAAACAUGUUUUCGCAUCUGACACACAGCCGUUCCUUGGCGUUGGCUGAGUCUCACUCUCAAGUGGUGGCUCGAACGUGAGGUGCACUCGAAUCUUACCUCAAGAGAUACUUCAUCCAACAUCUCUCCCCAGAGGUAGGUAUAUAGUUGGGUUACCGUGCCCCUCUCAUAGGCAGUCCACGGAAACCCCCACCACUGCAGUGACCGUUUAAUAUACCACAAGACCCAUAAAAUUUUCAGUAGCAUAAUAUGGCGAAUAAAAUUUAAUCCAGUCUAUCAAGAUUAAUCCAAAACUGUUCAUAUAUGUCAUGUCAACCCCAAAAAUUUAGCCAUCAUGUUACCAUAGUGUCAUAAGCCACAAUUUCAAUAACAUAUAAAAUCAUAAAUUCAACACAGUCUCCAUAUACUCGAUUUUUCCAAAACAAUAUUUAAUUUCAAAACCAGUAUAAAUCUCAUUUUUAUUAAAAAAACAUUUUAAUUGGAAAACAUAAUAUUUUAUAAUUUAAACUCACCAUUCAAUAAAAGCAUCAAACAAGUAUAAUUACUCUAGAGAUUUAAGAUGAUAAAUUGUCCACUCACAGUACUAGGAGUAGAAAUACUCCAAUUUUCAGUCCGCGGGUACAGUCCUUUACCCGUAUCUAAUGGCUCACCACCUAGCCAUAAUCCAUGACACAUAUUCUAAUUAAAUUGUGUCUAACAGUUAUAAGCUAUUUCAAGCUCGAUAUAUAUGCAUGAUAUGAAAAUGAAAAAUACACGAGUAGCCAUCUAGACCCGGUAUUGGCCUAAGUCGAUUUUUCAUCCGAUAAAUUGGCCAAUGCGUCCAAUUUCACUCCAACUUGCUCCAUUUUUUUCCCAAUCCCUCAAUUCACGAAACACAAACUAAUUAACACAGAAUUAGGCAAAAUUUAUCUUCACUUUUCUUCUUAGAACUUUUGGCCAACAAUGGUACACUAACUCCAUGAUUUUUUCUACUUAAUUUUCUCUCCAUGAUUCAUUAAUUCCUACACAAAAAACUAUUAUUUCUUAAUCAAAUCACUUAUAAUAACAUCUCAUUCUUCCUCAUUAUUCACUUAGAGAAUUCGGCUAUUGAUGGACACCAAACUUUUGGUGGUUUUCUUCACUUGUUUUCAUGCUACACAUCAUUAAUCACCUAAAAACACUAACAUACCUAAAAAUCAAACCAAUCCAAGAUCAUUCUCUCUCCAUACCCAUUUUGACCAGCCAUGAAUUCACCAUGAAAGCAUGCUUUUCAACCAUGAAAAUUAAGGGAAAAUGCAUAGGAAAAAUAGUUCAUAAACUAAAAUCAAGAAAUUUCACCUUUUUCCACUUGAUUUUCUUGAAAAUCCACACUUUUCUCUUGAAUUUCUUUCCACCUAGGGUUUGUUCUUCUUUUCCCCUUUGUUUUCUUGCCAAAGCUGACCCUUAUGAGAGAGAAAUGGUGGUGUGGGCUGAUUUUUAUAGUUAAAUAAUAUAAUAAUUUAAACUUGCCACAUGGCAUUCCAUGAUUGGCCCAUUUUUUUAAAUUCUUAUCUUUUAAGAUUUAAAUCUCCACCACACAUUUUUCAAGGGUCAAAAAUGAUGAUGGGUGAAGACCUUGUGCUGGAAAAAUGCUCUCGGGGUGCAAAAUUACCAUUUUGCCCCCGAAGUGACAAAAUUACCAUUUCACCCAGGUACUCCAAAUUAUACCGAAAUUAAAAUUUUUUACUUCUAAACCUCAAAUCAUACUCCAAUAAGUCAAAUGGGGUCAAAAAAUCUUUUUUAAAAAUUUUAUUUUUGUCCCCAGGUGAUAAAUUACCAUUUUACCCUUAGAUAGUGAAAAUUUUGGUUUGACUCCAAAUUGAUCCUCAAACUCCGAAUUACCAUUUUGAGUCAUCCCUGGACUGUGAAACUCUUAAUUUCACCUUAAAAUUUCUAUUUGAACUAGUUCGAGGCUUAAUCGACUUAAUGGUACCAUUAGGGGCAAUAUCGUCUUUUAACAAUUUCUCGAACUUCCUAAAUAUGCAAACAUUCUAUUGAGCAUGUAAAUAACGUCGUAAUUAUUUUAUAGAACAGGGUUUGACAAGAAUUGUUUUAUAAAAAUAUCAGAGGUAUCUCAUAUAAAGCCUAUGUUUAUAGUUUUGGAAUAAUGUUAAUGGAAAUUAUGGGAAGGAGAAAAAAUUUAAAUGCCUCUACCUAAUAUUCAAGUCAAAUUUAUUUUCCAUCAUGGAUAUAUGAUGGAUUAGAUGAAGGAGAUAUCAUGGAGCUUGGAGAUGUGACAAAAAUUGAAAACAAAAUUAUGAGGAAAAUGAUAAUGGUAGCCUUAUGGUGCAUACAGAUGAAACCCAUAGAUCGUCCUUCAAU
rnacentral:lncRNA from 1 species